AUUAGAAAAAAAAAAAAAUCUUCAUUUAGAUAUCUGUUUUUCUACUUUUUCUCUCAGACCUUUAAAAAUCUACAUUUUGUAUUUUUAAAAUUUUAAAAAUAUUUUUAAGGAAAUACAAUGUUGGUGGAGAGGACAAAAUAAUCAAAUUGCCUUUAUUUCUUUUAUAAGAAAAUUUUUUUUAUAUAUUUCUGUUAUCUUGAAGGUUAUUUUUGGUAUAAAUUAUAAGAAAUAGAUCGAAUAGUAAUAGAACCUUAUCCGAAGGAGGCUAAAUUUAACAUUUUAAAAUAUUAAGGGAGUAAAAUAUAGAUUUUUAAAAGUUAGAAAGGAAAAGCGAAAUAACGGGUUAUAAGGGUUUUUUUUUCCUUUUUGUAAUUUAACCACUUUAAUUCGUAUUCCAUCUUACCUAACCAAACACUAUUUUUCUUAUCCCAGGAAUAACCUAAUUUUCAUCCAAACGUAAAAUUGAUCUAAUCCCCGCUUAUAUCUUAAUUUAUACCUAUUCCUGGAAUACCCACUUUUUGCUUAUCCCUGAACUAAACGACACCUUAGUAUACAAACAUGCAUAGAGACAGAGAAUUAAUAGAGAGCUAGUCAUAAAACAAAUACACAUAUAUAUAUAAAUCAAGUACAGCAUAUAGAAAUAAGUUGCAUAAAACUGUUUACACAAAAGAAAAAGACUUAUCCCAUCACAGAGAAAUUGUGUUUAGAAAAAAAAAAUUAAAUAAAAAAUAAACGAAUGAUAUCAAAUAAGGACCUUUAAUUACGAAAAUUAAUUACAUGGUAAAUAAAAGGUGAACCGUUAGAACCGGAAGGAUGUGCGAAAGUCGCAAGCUGGUUUUGCGUUGUCUGGUUCGAAUGCUGGCCUUGAACUGAACCUUCCCCAUCAUCAUACCCUUCAAUCUGUCAAAAUAAAGUUCAAAAUAAUGUGAAACAAUUGAUUACUCUAAAAACUAAUUAAAGCCGCAAAAGAAUAGUAAUGUUUUAAUUAUUCUGCACCAAUGGUCUUGAUUCGGGACUAUUUGGUUAAGCACAAGACCAUGUGUAACUAUCUAUUUUUCUCUAAAAGCUUAAGUAAUUUGAGUAAUAGAUUUUUUUUAAUUUCACAAAUAAACAGGACAUUUAAUAUAUAGAAUUGAGCUCCUAUAAUUUUUAAAGUAUUAAGUUAUUGGUGGGUUGGAUUAAGGAAUGUACGCAGUCGGGAUGAUAAUGGUCCUAUUGGGUUGAGUGGGCAGUUGAUUGAAUAGUAUGAUUUAACAAAUUAAAUUGUCAAAAGAAUAAAUCUGACGAUGAAAAAUUUACGAGAACCAAAUGUUUGGUGUUUUUAAAAGCACCAUAGCCGGACUCUAAUACAUAUAUAUUUAUCUAUAUGAUUUGAGCUCCUAUGUUUUUAAAAGCACAGGAGCUCAACGUGCUUGUGAUUUUUUAGCCUUAGGAUCGCCUCAAGAUCUAUAUAGCACUAAUAAAUAGGGCGUAACAGGACACAUCGUUAAUAGUAUUAUACAUAUCUUGAGGCGAUCCAACGACUAAAAAGUCACAAGCACAAAUACUUCUGUGCUUUUAAAAACACAGGAGCUCAACUGACGUCGUUGGGAGGAAUAACAGCGAACAAAUAAUCGGAUAUAGGCUAACAAGAACUAUGAAAAAAGAUGAAAUAGUUAGGGCUUUUAGAAAAAACUACUGGUUCCUUAGAAAUAUUGAAAAGAUCAUCAAAAAACGGCCGAACCUGAUUUGCAUCCCUUUUAUAUUAGGGUUACAAGAUACUACUCAAUAGCAGCCCUUGAUAAUGACUUAUUGGCUAACUUUAAAUCCUAACCAUCAAAUAUAAUAAUAAGUCACAUGCUAGUCACAUGACAACUAACUAAAUAAAAUAAAUAAAAUAAUUGAAAGGUAAAACAUGAUAUUAGAGCUCCUACGUCAACAACUCUCUCUCUCUCUCUAUAUAUUUGUACAAACUCAUAAAUAAAUAAAAAACACCUACAUGCAACAUUUGAAUGCCUUUAUAAUAUGACAAAACCAUAAUAAGAACCAAAAGUGUUCACUAACAUGGUGAAAGGGAAAUAAAACUCCACAUCACCAUAAGUUGAAUGAAUAAUCUAGCAAUCUAAAAUAAUUAAAUUUCAGGGGCAUGAUUAUCUUCUUUAAAACAUACAAAUUUUGCAGUGAUUUGAGGGCCUAAAUCUCAUACCUGAUUAAGCACUAAUCUUCUUCCUCUUACUUGAGAAAAAGAAGCAAGAGUAAGCCAUAUGAAAGCCAAAACCAAGUUGCUCUUGUAAGCCAUGAAUGGAGUUAUCACAAGUCUAGUAGUGGACCAAGGUUUCUACAUAUAUAUAAAGACAUGGAAAAUAACAAAUGUAUAAAGACCCCCUCAACUAUAGGUAAUUGUGAAGUAGGCUCCUCUUGAACUUUACUAUUGUUAUUUUUAUUUUUUUAUACUUGAGUUAUUAUGUUUGCUAAGUUAGAUGUUUCAUUAAGUUUAAUAGCUUUGUUAACUAUUAACCAUCAAUCGUUCUAGUUUUAUUUGCUAAUUUUGUGAAUUUUUAAUUUAUUUGAUUAAAAUCACUCAAUUUUAGAAAAUAUAAAAUUUGAGAAAAUAUUAAUAAGAAUAAAAAAUAAAGCUCAGGGGGGGCACAUGAGAAUAGCCUAUAUUUUAAGGGGGUUCAGCAUACAUUUUUGUCUAUAAGGAGGGAAAGCAUUAAAUGCAAGGAUAUCAAAAUCUUAGGCAUACUUUUUAAGAUUUUUUUCCUUUAAUAAUAUUGCAGAUUAAUAGAUGUUAUGAUAUAUAACAUGCCUUUUUUUGAUCUUCUGUUUUGCCUUGUCAAAUUUGAAUAAGGGUGAAAAAAAUAGAUUGAAGAAUUAAUAAAUAAAAUUGUUGUUUAUCCUUAUUGUAGGAAUAAUAAAUCCAAACUUAAUUAAAAUAUAAUUAGAGAUAAGUUUAAAUCUUUUAUUUGAUUAUGAUUAGGAUAUAUAAUUAUCCAAAGUAAAAUUGGAUUUAUCAUUUGAUGGCUAUAUACAGUUAGCCAUGGGUUAAUUAGAUAAAUAAGCCAUAGUAGGCAUGGUUGUAUGAGAGUUGCCCAGAAUGUAAUUAAUUAUUUUUUAUGGAUAAAAUAUUGGUUUAGUUAUCUAAUUAACCCAUGGCUAACUGUAUAUAGCCAUCAAAUGAUAAAUCCAAUUUUACUUUGGAUAAUUAUAUAUCCUAAUCANUAUUUUUUAUGGAUAAAAUAUUGGUUUAGUUAUCUUCUUCCUCCCCCAAUAUCUCUUCUCUAUAUUAUUUUGUUCGAUUUUCAAUUAUAUUAUCGGUAUCAAGACAAAUACCAGUUUCGACAAUUGAUAUCAUAGAAAAUACCGGUUCCAAUAAGUAGUAUCAAAAGAAAUCACGCUUCCAACAAGUGCUAGCAGAGCAAAAUCACGCUUUCAACAUGUGGUAUCAGAGCUGGAAAGUAUCAAGUGACCUAUAAACCAGAUUACAACAUAUUUGAAAAGAAUAUAGAUCUAAUGUACCGGAUAGCUAUGUUAAAGUCAAGCCAACGAAGGUGACGUUCAGGUAAAACUAAAGCAAAUGAAUCACUUUGAAGAAGUUGGCCUACACACAACAUACGACAGCAGGUGGUUGUGACGUUUGACGAAAAGAUAGCGAGAAGAGCCCGUGAAGACAUCCAAGAAGACUUGACCAUAUAGUCAGAAGGGCUAGGCAAGCAAGUCGAAAUAUAGAAAAUUCAGCAAGACUUUGAUAAACUAAGAACGUCAUCCAAACAGAAAGGUACAAAUCCAAAACUUAUUUUUUAGAUUAUCAAGUUUUUGUUGUGGAUUUAGAUAAUUGGUUUAUUCAAUCUAGCUUACCAAAGUUCGAUGGAACGAUCUUCAAAUGAUGAAAAAUCAUCAUUCAAUAUUUUUUAGAAUCCCAAGAUUUGUGGGAUAUAGUGGAGAAUAGAAAUUACGAAAAAGAAUUUGGUAAAGAGGAAUUUAGAAAACGGAAUAGAGAAGUUGUAUCAUAUAUUUUUCAAGCAGUUGAUCUAUCGUUGGUUGAAAAAUUUUCAACGAGAAAGACGGCAUGAGAAGCGUGGAGAAUACUAUUGAAAAUUGGAGGAGAAUAUUUGCAGAAAGAGAAUAAAAUUCAAGAAGAAAAAGAAAUUCAACCUAACAGCAAAAAUCCAGAAGUCCCACUUUGGAAAGAAAAAUCUGACCAAAAUCAUGAAGAAGAUUAAAUUCGUGAAGAGUAUGUUGAUAACCAAAACGGUGCAAUUCAGAUUGACGAGAAAGUUCACAAUGACGAUAUGAUUAAAAAAUUUUCUGUCGAUAAAAUAAUUACACAUCAAGUCAAAGAGGAAGUUGACUCUUUAUAUAAUGUGAAUGAAGAAAAGGAAAUAGUAGACGAAAAUAUAGAGUUAAAAAUGCAAAGUUUUGGUACGAUGCAAAACAUACACAUUGAAACAAGGGGACCCAAAAUAUCAAAUUUAAAUAUUCGCCGGAACCUGUGGAUCUUUAAGGAUAAUGUGGAUAAUUAGUAUUACAAGUGGCAAACAUUCCGUGCAUGGCGACAUCAAUGGACAGGCAUCAUGCUGCACAAUUCAAACACGAAGACAACAACAGCGACGGAGAUUGCAAAAUCAAAGUGCGCGUUUCACGGAGUUCGCAGCUUGAAGAUGAAGUUUGGAUUAAGGAAGGAUGUUGGAAUAAUAAUCCAAACUUAAUUAAAGUAUAAUUAGAGAUAAGUUUAAAUUUUUUAUUUGAUUAUGAUUAGAAUAUGUAAUUAUCUAAAGUAAAAUUAGAUUUAUCAUCUGUUAUGAUUUGAUGGCUAUAUACAGUUAGCCAUGGGUUAAUUAGAUGAAUAAGCCAAAGCAGGCAUGGUUACAUGACAGUUGUCCAGAAUGCAAUUAAUUGCUUUUUAUGGAUAGAGUAUUAGUUUAGUUAUCUUCUUUCUCCUCCAAUAUCUCUUCUCUAUAUUAUUUUGUUCGAUUUUCGAUUAUAUAAUCGGUAUCAGCAUAAAUACCGGUUCCGACAAUUGGUAUCAGAGAAAAUACCAAUUCCAAUAAGUGGUAUUAAAGCAAAUCACGCUUCCAAUAAGUGGUAUCAGAGCAAAAUCACGCUUCCAACACUUAUUAAUAAUUAGAAGCCAGAACACACCCAGCCUUUCGCCUAUUAAUUUGCAGAUAGUCAUAUGAAGUUUUAAAAUUACAUAUUUACCAUUCGAACUUUCAAAAGGUUAUAAUUACUACAACUUAUAUUCUCUUUAUCUAUAAUACGGUAUCAUAAUUUUUUUUUAUUUUUGUGUGUUUAUAUAUGAAAUUAUUUUGAAUUUUAGGCUUUUAAUUAGUCAAUAUAAUGAUCGAAAUAAGUUUUAUCCAGAUAAUUUAAUAAAGUCUAUAAAAAAAAUAUGUAUACGAGUAUCCAUACCCUAUUUAGACUCGACCAGUACCCACUCUUUAACUGGUAGUAUACAGAUACUUACUUUUCAGACCCGCUCAAAUAGAUCUGAUAAAUAUAUUAGUAAGUUAAGUAUCCAGACCCGAACCCAACCCAAAGUUAAAUGGGUAGGAUAUUUUUUUUUCUAACUAUUUUUUUUUUAGGUAUAGAUACAGUAUAUCAACUAUUCAAACCUGAUCCGAUCCACGGACACUUUUAAUUCUAUCUCAGUAUAUUCUAUUGCAUCAUAAUAUAUAGAUUUAUUUUUCUUUUACAAGAAACUUGAUAUGAAAUACUUCAUAUACUACACUUAUCAUACCAGAUACUCUACCAAAAAUAAAUUUUGAUUUAAUUUUUUUAAAAAAAAAUCGACAAUAAACAGAUUAGGCUUCAGUUACUAGAUUCUAUGAAUUAGUAUCUAAGUUGCUUUUUUUUCCAAAAAAAAAAAAAAAGGAAAAACUCUAGGGGAGUUCAUUUUUAGACUAGCAACUUCAUAUGCUCUUUCCUAUAUAGAUCUUUGAGAUGUAGAUUUAAGAAACAUAGGAUAAGUCAUUUAGGGGGGCUCUAGCUUGGCUCGAAUUUGAACUCGAUUAAGUGCGACUAAAGUAAUUUGAUUCAAACUUGAUCAUAAUUUUAGGUUCAAAUUAAUUUCAGGCAUGAAUAGUAAAGUAGAGUUCAUCAGGUUUUAAUGAUAUUAUUGCUAGUGUGUCAGAUUUUUCUAAGAAAAUCUAGGUAUAGAAACCCUCAACUGUAGGCCAUUUUGAAAUAGGCUUCUCGACUCUCUUUCUUUUAAUCGAUCGGCACUCCUUUAAUGCCUAAUUAAUUUAAUUAGAGUGUUUUUUUUCUUAAAUAAAUAAAGAAUCUCAAAACAAAAAUAAUUAGGAUGCAAUUAACUAAGGAAACUUGUAGUUUCAUUACCUAAAAAGGUCUUAGAAAUAGCUAAUUAUAAGAGAAUCAACAUGUAAUUAAUCUAAUAAAUUUCUCAAUUUAUUUGAUAAAAAUAUAUAACUUCAAUCAAAAUAAUCGAAAAUUUAUAGGGACUUACCCUUUCAUCCAAAUAAAAAAGAAUAAAAAAAAAGUAGACCAUCUAUUUCAAAAUGGCAUAAAGUUGGGGGGAUCCAUGAAUAUUUCAACUAAAAAUUAUGUAUGAUGAUAAAAAAAGGAAAUAUGUCUAAAUAUGCAGCAAGAGAAACAGAGAUCUAUUAUGCAAGCCAGAUAAAAGCCACAUAGUCAGAGACUCCACACAUGAAAUAAGAUACAUAGUACUGAGACAAAAGUCACACAAAGAAACAAGUUGUUAAGCAAAGUCAACAGUUAUAGAAACAUUCACUUUACUACACUAGCCAAAUUACACUUCUGGUCCUCAAACUCUAAGAUCGCGCGACAGUUCGAUUCUCAAAUUUUAUUUUAUUACAAUUUAUAUCUCGAACUUUCUAAAUUAUUAUAAUCAAGUCUCAGAUCCAAAUUUAGUUGGCUGAUGUUGACAUACUGCUGAUGUGACAGUACUCGCUUUAAUAAUAGAAAAUAAGGAUUAAGAUGACACAUCAUUUUCACAUCAGCAACACACCAAUAUUUAGUCGACUAAAUUAGCCCGUGGGACUUGAUUACAUGUAUUAAUUUAUAGAAUUCGAGCCAGUAAUUGCGACCACAGAAAAAAUAAGUUUGAGAAUCAAAAUACCACGCGCCUAAUAGGAUGAAGACUGGAACUGUGAUUUAGCUUUUGCUAUUGUAUAUAUCACAAUUUCUGCUGCUGAUUAUCUUCUUCUCGGGAUGUAACGCCGGGCCCACAAGUGCUUUCCGUUCUCGAAGAAUUUGACUCUUGUGUUCCCGUUCAGGACCCGGAAGACAGUCUGCAGCGAGUAGAAGGAGACAUGAGCGUAGAGUGGAUGUCUGUCUUCGUUUGGCUCCUCAACAGUGACCAGCUCCACAUCCCCAUAAUUCCUGCGUGGUAAUAGUAUUGAGGAAUUGAAAUGUUUGUGUUAAAUAUAUAUUCUGAGCACUAAAAUACAGAAAAUAUUACUGUAAAUUCUUCUUUUUUUUUUCUGACCUUCAAAAAUUUAUGUUUUGCUUCUUACUUAUUCUAUAAGGAAAAAAAUACAAAUUUUUAAUAUAUUUUUAUUAUUUUUAAGAGUAUUUUUUGUAUAAAUUAUAAAAAAUGGACGAAAUAGUGGCAAAAUCCUAAUAGGGCGGGCUAAGUGCGUCAACUUAAAAUUUUUAAAAAAUUAAAUAUAUAUUUUUUAAAACUUACGAAAAGAGUAAAAAAAAAAAGAUAUUUACAGAAAGACUUUUCUAUAUCUUACCUUAUUUUGAAUAAGGAACACAAUUCAUUAUAAAUUAUUGAUAUUGAGUCAUUCGAUCACUAGGCAAAUGAUAUCGAAAAAUCAGAAUUCUAAGUGAUUCAAAUACUCUAGAUCAAGUUUGACGAACCGAUCGACGAUUCGAAAGUCGAAACAUCGAAAACGACCUGAAAGUACGGAAUGCUCCGUGCUUCUAAAAGCAUAGUAGCCUCACUCUUUUCUAGAGAUAUUUCUAGUAAUUUGGUGGGAAAUAUGAGUUUUGAAAUGAUUGGAUGGCAAAGUGCAAAUUGUGAUUUUCACAAGAUAUUGUUCUACAAUUAAUUUGACCAAAUUAAAAACUCAUCUUAGAAAAAAAAACAACACAAAAAACAAAAAACCAAAAAGAAGUGAGUCAACUUUCUAUUAAUCUUCCAUAUACACAUGCCCAAAAUAAAUGACAACAAAGUGUAGAGAGAUCUCAAGAUCUCACUCACAUGGAGACAACAUCAUUAGACCAAAUGAGUAAAAGAAAUAAUUUCUAGCUGAAAAUAACUCUAAUUUACAAAAUAUUCCUUUUGACCUCAAUAUACCACUUUAAUUUGUCACAAAGAAUAUUUGACUAACUUUUUAGCAAAAUUUUGAUACAUUUUGGAAUUUAGAUAUGUCUUAUACUUGGCCAUAAGAUAAAAAGUUUAGAGUUAAAAAAGGUGUUAUGAAGAUAUUUUUUGCGACAGCUAAUUAUACUCUAGACUUUUUAUAUGAUAACCUUUCUCAAAACCAAUUAAUCCAAAUACGCAAUCAUUCCCAACCAUUGUCAUUUAAUCUAAAACAUAUAUAUUUACCAGUAGUUAUUCUACUACAUUGUACGUAUUUAAAUAAAAUAAUUGAAGUACUAGUAUUAUAACAUAAAAGAAAUUCAAAAAUUAAGCUUAGUUAUCAAAGAAGUAUAUAUGACCAAUUAAUAACUAAAAUUGUGAUUAAACUAAGAUAUUCAAGUCCUUCUUUAAGCAAAAAUUAAAUUGUGUCGUUUUAUCACCCUUUCUUUUAGUUUAUCCCAAGUGAUCAGUUGUACUCAAGGAAAGGUAAUUAUUUCAUAUUUCCACAAAUAUUGUAUUUUGAGGAGCUAAUAACGUACCCUUUAUGUUCACAAAAAGAGAUAAACAAGAUAGCUAUCCUACUAGUAAACAAUAAUUUUAUCUCACAUGAUAAAGUAUAACUGCAAUUUGUAGGAAUAGUUCUAGGGGGCCGUUUGCUUGACGGUUUCAAAUAUUCCAAAAAUCCUUCAUACUUGUUAUUGAAUAAAUUCAAAUUAAUUGCAUGCAACUCUGGUUGAGUAAUUGUGAGAGGUGUUGAUAAAGUAACGGAAUCAUUAUAGAUUCUCCAAUUAGUACACAUAUAUACUCGAAUACCAUGGUUUAUCUCUUAUUUCCAUACUUGAUAGGAAUCUCUGAUAAUCCAAUAACAUGAAUAUACAAGUUCCUACAAACUCGUAACCUAAAUGGCAUUGUUCAUGUCAUUCCAAAUAAUUUUAAAAACAUUAUAAUCGCGAAACAGACUCAUCAAUCAACAACGCAUGAAUAUAUAGUACAUAACUAAGACUAAAAUAUAUAGUAAAUCAACGAUGAUUUUUUAUAGUAUUAUAUCCAACCUCUAUUGUCUCAUAAGUUAUGUCAUUUUACGAAAUAAUUGAAUCUAGUUAAAGAAUCACUAAAACAGAAUUAGAUUAUAGGGACACAUGUUUGGGACACUUUUGUGUAAGUGUUCUAUUUAUGUCAAAAUUUUUUACAAAAAUUUGCUAAGACCUAUAUAUAAAUCUCAAUCUAACCAAAAAUAAAAUGUUACUCUAUUUAACCCACCCCACCUAGCUCAUUCGGCCCGAUUACUAACAAAAAAGAUAAAAAAAGAAAAAUCGAUUACCAUCUCGCCUUCUCUCCUCACUUAAUUCACUGAAAUUCUAAACGAAAAGCCGUUCCCUCUCCUCCUCCUCUGCCACUGCAGCCAACGCGGUAAAGUUCGGGCGGUUUCUAAAUACUUAAAUAAGUGUUGGAAAAUUAGCAGCAUUCUUUUAAGAUUAUAGUGACACUCUUUAACUGUCACUAUAUAUCUAGCGAUUCCACAUAUAGCAACACUUUUUAAAAGUGUCCGUAAUUUAGCCUGCAAUACUUUUUUUAACCUGUACCAACAUUUAAAAGUGUCACUAUAGACCGUUUUUGUUAUAGUGAAUUUACAGUUUUCUUAAUAUUACUGCACUAGUACUUUACUCUCACAUUCUAUAUAUUGCUUGCACUUUGUCGAAAAUUAAGUUAUAUUGUAAGAUCUAUGAUAGUCUAUAGAAGACAAUAUUAAAUAUUAAACACAAUCUUAAUAUCAAAGUCAUGCAUAUAGUGAAUUUAUCUCCUGCUCUGCAACGAGCUAGAUUUGAUUUAAGUGAAGGAACCUCUAGAGCAAUCGUCGUUGGAUUGCAAAUAAAAAAGUCGAAAACUUUUCAAAAAUAUAUAAGCAAUUGCCCCUUAAUAUUACAUGUGGGAGGAGAGGACUAAUCGCCCCUAUAUAUGUCAUUCUAGCUCUUUUUUCUGAAAAAGUUUAGAAUCCACGAGUUAUAUUGCUGAUGUGGCGUCCCCCAACUCAUUAGAUCCUUUUUUUUGGAUUCACCGAUCCCUUCACGAUUAUUAAAAAAAUAUUUUUGUUGUAUUUUUUUUUAAAAUAAGAGAUAUGAUUGGGAAGGAAUAGAGGAUGUGGUAUACAUGUUUCAACGUAGACUUCCUCUCUACUCCCACCCUAUUGCGACCUGAGCCUUCUUUUCUUAUUAUCUUCUUCUGCUUUCCUUCUCUCACUCUUCUUCGUUCUCUGCAUCUCUUCUUCCCUUCUUCUCCUUCCAUACCAUUUCCUUUUCGACUCUCUCUUCCUCCCUCUUGCUCCAUGGACGUGGAGACAUGAUGAAGACGAGGGAAAAGAUCGGCCCUGGUACUAGAGUCAGCCGAGCAGCAUAAAGAGCAAUCGUUUCUGCCAUCGGAUUAAAUCACCUCGAGUUCGGCCUCGCCUUGGACAACCAUUUCGACCUUGCCAUUAAAUAGAAGCUCACCUUAAAAUUACCCUUCCUUAUCUAAAACUUAUCUCGGAGUUAGAGGUUGAAACUACUUCACCCUUGAAGGUUCGGAUCAUUGAAGGAAAGUUGGAAGGUUGAAGGAAGAGAACCAAGUUUUAAUUUGGCUAUAUUUUAAUUCGGGGUAAACUCUAAACCUACGUUUAAACUCUUCAUUUAAAUCUUUAUUUUGGUAAGUAAAUAGAUGAUUUUUGUAUGAAGUUUACCUUGUGUUCUUACUUAGUUUCAAAUUUUGUUUCGUUUAGAGUUGACUUGAGUGAGUUCAUGCAAAAACAGUGAAACAUAUUAACUAGGCGAUUGUUGGCCUUGCAACGGUAGUUAACCGACACUAAGCUAACGAUCGGCCGCUAGUGGCUACAGCGAAAUUUAAAAUUUAAAAUUUUGAGUUCUUUUAGUAAUUUAUUUUGGCAAUUUGACUUAAAACUUUUAAAAGUAUUUAGCAUUAAUUUUAAAUGAGUUUUGAUGAUUUUUUACAGUCUUACAUAUAUAUAUUUGAAUUUCACGUUAAUUUAUUUGGCUUUUUUUUGAAGAAGCUCGGGCCGUUCUUCAACCUCAAGCUUGAUGCUCCAACCUUAGGUAUCUACCUUCGCAUGCUUGUCAUUUUUUUGUACUUGUACCUUUUAUUGGGCAUUAUUUUGGCAAAUUUUUGGCUCAUUUUUGAACUUCCGGGUAUUAGACGAUCAAAUGACACCUGAAUCUUCGUUUUUUUGAACUACAUGAUUAUUAGAAAUAUAUUUUUGUUGUAUUUUUUAAAAAAAUAAAAGAUAUGAUUGGUUGGGAAUAGAUGAUGUGGUGUAAAUGUUACAACGUAGACUUCCUCCUUCCCCCCGUUUCUCUCUCUACUCCUACCCUACCCCGACCUGAGCCUUCUUUUUUUAUUAUCUUCUUUUUCUAUCCUUCUCUCACUUUUCUUCUUUCUCUGUAUCUCUUCUUCCCUUCUUCGCCUUCCAUACUUUUUCUUUUUCGACUCUCUCUUCAUCCCUCUAGCUCCAUGGACGUGGAGACAUGAUGAAGACGAGGGAGAAGAUCGGCCCUGCUAGUAGAGUCAGCCGAGCAGCAUGAAGGAGCAAUCGUUUCUACCAUUGGAUUAAACCACAUCGAGUUCGGCCUCGCGUUGGACAACCAUUUCGACCUUGCCUUUAAAUAGAAGCGCGCCUUGAAAUUACCCUUCCUUAUCUAAACCUUGUCUCGGAGUUAGAGGCUAAAACUAUUUCACCCUUGAAGGUUCUGAUCAUUGAAGAAAAGUUUAAAGGUUGAAGAAAGAGAACCAAGUUUUAAUUUGGCUAUAUUUUAAUUCGAGGUAAAGUCUAAACCUAUGUUUAAACUCUUCAUUUAAUCUUUAUUUGGUAAGUAAAUGGAUGAUUUGGUAUGAAGGUUACCUUGUAUUCUUACUUACUUUCAAAUUUUGUUUCGUUUAGAGUUGACUUGAGUGAGUUCAUGCAAAAAUAGUGAAACAUAUUAACAAGGCGAUUGUUGGCCAUGCAACAAUAGUGAACCGACUCUAAGCUAACGGUUGACCACUAGUGCCUGCAACGAAAUUUGAGAGUCUUAUAUAUAUAUAUAUAUAUAUAUAUGUACAUAUAUGUACAUAUGUACAUAUAUGUAUGUAUAUAUGUAUAUAUGUAUAUAUGUACAUAUAGAUAUAUGUACAUGUACAUAUAUGUAUAUAUGUACAUAUAUACAUAUAUGUGUAUAUGUACAUGUACAUAUAUGUACAUAUGUACAUAUACAUAUAUGUACAUAUACAUAUAUGUACAUGUACAUAUACAUAUAUAUAUAUAUAGAAUUGAGCUCCUAUACUUUUAAAAUACCAAGUCAUUGGUACAUGUAAGUUUUCGGCCCUUGGAUUAAGAGAUGUGCGGUUAUGAUGAUGCGGGCCCCCUAGGGUUCCCCCUCCCCCCUCUCUUUUUCUCUACUCCCACCCUAUUCUGACCUGAGCCUUCUUUUUUUAUUAUCUCCUUCUUCUUUCCUUCUCUCACUCUUCUUCUUUCUCUGCAUCUUUUCUUUCCUUCUUCUCCUUCCAUACUUUUUCCUUUUCGACUCACUCUUCAUCCUUCUUGCUCCAUGGACGUGGAGACAUGAUGAAGACGAGGGAGAAGAUCGGCCCUGCUAGUAGAGUCAGCCGAGCAGCAAGAAGGAGCAAUCGUUUCUACCAUUGGAUUAAGCCACCUCGAGUUCGGCCUCGCGUUGGACAACCAUUUCGACCUUGCCUUUAAAUAGAAGCUCGCCUUGAAAUUACCCUUCCUUAUCUAAACCUUGUCUCGGAGUUAGAGGUUGAAACUACUUCACCCUUGAAGGUUCGGAUCAUUGAAGAAAAAUUUAAAGGUUGAAGAAAGAGAACCAAGUUUUAAUUUGGCUAAAUUUUAAUUCACUUGGUUUCAAAUUUUGUUUCGUUUAGAGUUGACUUGAGUGAGUUCAUACAAAAACAGUGAAACAUAUUAACUAGGCGAUUAUUGGCCUUGCAACGGUAGUCAAUCGACUCUAAGCUAACAGUUGAUCACUAGUGGCUGGAGCGAAAUUUGAAAGUCUUUUAUAUAUAUAUAUAUAUAUAUAUAUAUAGGCCGUGGCUACUAUACUAUUAUGAGUAUUGGAGCCCUCGUACUCAUAAGUUGUUUUCGAUGAUAGAGCUUUCGAAUCGACGAUCCACUACGUAUACCUUCACAUGCUUGUCAUUUUUUUGUACUUGUAUCUAUUAUUGGGCAUUAUUUUGGCAAAUUUUUGACUCAUUUCUAAACUUCUGGGUAUUAGACGAUCGAAUGACACCUGAAUCUUGGUUUUUCUUUUAUGAUUUUUAAGAUAAUAAUUAAAGUAAGAGUUAGUAAUCCUUGGAGUAGACUUUUAAUUAGGUCUUUUCUAUCAUUAUCUUGGGACGUGACCAAAGGAUUUUCUCGACUGACCAUCUACCAACUCAAUUAUAUAUGGAUUGCUACCAUCGGUAAGUAGGAUAUUAUCUCAUUGAGUUAAUAACAAUGUUGUUUCUUCGACUGUAACAUUUAUCAUCUCAUGAUCGUAAUGACUAUGCAAAUUUUAUCGUAUCGAGAGAUAAUAGUUCUGUACACAUGCUUUGCCCAUACAAAAUCGCAUGAUUUAUGGUAUAUUAUUAUGACAUUAACUGAUCUCCGAUCAUACCUUACUUGUCUGGCACAAGUUGGAUUGGGUUGAACUAAGGUUUUAAGUGCCCGUCGGCACGGGCCGUAUGUAUCGUGCCGUACCGUGCCAACAAGAUAUUGGCAUGAUAUAGACCCCGUGCCGAUGGCAUAACUUAAAACCCUCUAUUCUUUGAAUUAGUAAGUAAUUUUCUCAACAAAGUUCAAAAAAUAUGAUAAAAGGAUAUAAUAAAUAGUUAGAAUAUUUUGUUUCUAAAGAAAAUAAAUAUUUCAUGCUAUUAUGUGUCGGCACGCAAAAAUUUUUUUGACCGGCACACAUCGGCACAGCUCGGCACGCAUCGUGCCGUAUCGUGUCGGCAAGUUUCUGAUACGAUCCCGUGCCACAGUACUUAAAUCCUUGGGUUCAACAUUAUAUUGAAUGUGUAAAUUGUUGCCUUUUAAAUAGUGGAUACAGUUAUGUGCAUUUGAUGAGUACCAGCCAGAAAAUUAUGUGCCAAAUAAAGACAUAAGGGUAUGCGGGCCAAGAGAAUAAUUCACUACUGACUAGCCUCAGAGAUGGUUGCUUAGAUGUCUUGAUUUGUAGAGUAGAGGCAUAGGGUAGGAUACGCAUGGGUUGAUAGAUGCCAAAUAUAGUAGACCAAGAUAUGACCUAAUAUUGUCGAGUGUGACAGGGUUAUAUCUGAUCUCACCGUACGAAAGUGAUGGAUUUUGGAAUGGCAGUGUAUGUACUUUGUAUAGUAUUGAUGUCAUAUCAAUUGCGUUGGUUACGCGAGUUGUGUAGUCAGCAUGUGUCGCAAUGGAGGUGUCGAAAUAUUAAACUCUAAGAAUAGCAUAUAGCAUGGAUCAUCGAGAGCAUCUCUUUGGGUAUUUUGAUACAUCUUGCUUGUACAUAGCUGUUGUUAACCAGUCACCAAGACUUGCGCCCAGAUAAUUAUAGGUGAAAAUUUGGAUAGUGUACCUAGAAGUGGACAUCGUGGUGAGAUGGCACUAAUACAGGUAGUUUGCAUGCAUUCUGAUAGUAGUGAUUUAUACUGCAUAACUAUCUGAUAAUUGCCACAUGCAUAACUACUAUAGUACUCUAUUCCUUUUCUCAGGUAAUUAUUAGGGUUAAAAAAAAAAAGGGAAAAAGAGAGAAAAGAGGUUUUUCUUCUUUCUUUUUUUUUACCUAAUUUUCAACUGGGGGAAGUCGAACGACGGGCUAGAUGAGGCAGCGGCGGUGCGAUUGAAGAUCUCUUUUUUCUUUGGAUUUUUUUUAUAUGUAGGAAUUUCUGUACUAUGGUGGAAUUGCUAUUAUAUCACUACAACAAAAACGGUAUGUAGCGACACUUUUAAAUUAUAACGAUCAAGUCUACUAGCAACAAUAACUCGUUGGGCCCAACCACCGGCCCAAAAUGCUUAAGCCUAGUUAUUAUUAUUAGUGUCUAAGUCUCUUAUAAACCCAAUGACAAUCCCUUUCCCGUCCGAUAUGGGACUAUUGAGGUAUCACAGACUCCUCCCGUUAAGGCCCUGACGUUCUCGUCAGUCCAAUCACACACAGCCCAAGAUCACCAGGCAGACUUGUCUCGCUAACCUUGUCAUCUAGACCCUGGCAUAGCCGGUCACCUUGUUAUUCAAAUUUCGGCAUAGCCCAUCAUCUUGUCUUUCAGACCCUGGCUCAGCUGAGACUCUUUUAGACCCUGACUCAGCUGAGACUCGCCACACAGACUCCCCCCCUUAAGGCCCUGACGUCCUCGUCAGUCUAAUCACACACACAGCCCAAGAUUACCAGAUGAUGUGAGACUCGUAUCGCUUGCCUGUCAUCCAGACCCUGGCUCAGCUGAGACUCGCCACACAUUCCGACUGGUGAGCCGGCUCUAAUACCAAAUGUAACGGCCCAGCCCACUAGCAACAAUAACUCGUUGGGCCCAACCACCGGCCCAAAAUGCUUAAGCCCAGUUAUUAUUACUAGUGUCUAAGUCUCUUAUAAAUCUAAUGACAACCCCUUUUCCAUCCGAUGUGAGACUAUUGGGGUGUCACAUAAAUGUCAAUAUAAAUCAAAAAAAGUACAGCUGACUAAAUUACUGACACUUUUAAAAAGUGUUGCUAUAUGUGGGGUCACUAAAUAUAUAGCAAUAGUUAAAGAGUGUCGCUAUAACCUAAAAAAGUGCUGCUAAUUUAGCAGCACUUAUUUAACCAUCUAGCAACUGUCGGAACUCUACCUCGUUGGCUGCGGUGGCGGAGGAGGACGAGAGGGAAGGGCCCUUCGUCUAGGAUUUCAGUAGAUUGAGUGAGAGGAGAAAGAGAGAUGGUAAUCGAUUUUUUCUCCUUUUUUUUCCUUUCUAUUUGGAAUUGGGCCAAAUGGGCUCGGUUGGGUGGGUUGAGUAUAGUAACCUUUUAUUUUUUAUUGGAUUCGGCUUUAUAUUUAGGGAUUAGUAGAUGUUUUUUAAAAUUUUGACAUAAAUGAGACACUUAGACAAAAGUGUCCCAAACAUGUGUCCCUAUAACCUAAUUCUGUUGUAGUGUCCUCUCUCUCUCUAUCUCUCUUCGUAUCGCUAUCCUCCCUUUGUUCUCUCUAUCUCUAUGUAUCAUCUUUUUUUAUCCUCAUAUUUAUAGUAGAAGGAAAACAUCCGAGGAAUCGGCACGAUUCGUGGGUUGGGUGAGAGAUAUUUGAGGAGUCGAUUAGGGAAUUCGGAAUCAGGUUGUUGAGGGUUGGUUAGGAGUUCAAAAUUUUGAAAUUUGAAUGUUUUGAAGUUCAAACUUGAAUUUUGGGUUGUGGAUGUGAUUGGUUUUGAAAAGAAUAUUUAGGGAGUUAGUUGGAGAUUCAAAACUCAAAUCGAAUUUUGAACAGAAAGAGAUAUGUAUAAGAUCAUUAGGAUAAGAGAUAUUUUCAAAUUUUGAAAAAGAAUUGGGCUGAGAUCGGGCCCAUUUUGAUGAAGCCUAUUGGGCACAAAUAACACUUGUUGGACUAAGAUGAGGCCCCAGUUAUUAGAUAAACUCAAAAAUUCAAUGAGCUUUCAUAAGACCCACUGAUUUAUGUUCACAUCUGGCCUAGAGGGCCCGAAUAUCUUCGGCCAAAUUACGUUUGGGCUCAUAUAAAUUCUACCAAAAAAAAAUUUUGAAUAAGCCCAAAUAUUAUGGGCCAACCAUAAUUUUCCCCCUUUAUUUUUUUAAAUUAUUAUUUUUUUAUUUUUUUUACCCCAACAAUAACAACAGACUCUUCCUAUUCUCUAAAGUCUUACAUUCUAUGAGGUUCAAAUUUGAAAUUCAGAUUUAUAAUCUUAUGGGAAUGUGGCAGUUUUGACUCGAACCAAAGGGUAGUUUGGGUCAUGACAGUUUAAAAUUUUACAUUUAGCUCCUAAAGAAUCAAUUUAUUGUACCACUUUCUACAACUUUCUGUUAGGUUUCUUAAAUAGCGUGAGUAUGUGUCAAUCAAGUUAAUUACAGUGUAUAAAAUGGCAUGCCAUCGCUUGAACUUCUGCCAAGUAGGGAUGUCAAUGGGUCGGGUUUGGGUCAGGUUUUCAAAAAUCCGAACCCGAACCCGAAACUGAAUUAAAACUUGAACCCGGACCUAAACCCGAACCCAAAAUUGAAUCCGACAAGUUUCAAAAAUCCAUACCCAUAUGCGAGCCCGACCAAAAACCCAAAACCCGAACCCGAACCCGAAAACGCAAAUCCGAAAUAACGAUUUCUCUUUACCAUACAAAAUAUAUUAUAGUAAAUUUGUAAACAUAGAAGAUCUAUGGCCAAUUUGCAUAAAAAAUUCACUAAUUUUGGGCUUUUGCAAAAAUGGACCACCUUUUUCGUUUUUGCAGAUUCAGUCUGAAUAUUCAGCAAACUGACCAGAAUACCCUUAUUACUUUUUCUCACUCCUCUUCUUUUCUCUCAUUCAGUUUUUUUUCUCUCGCAAAAGCAAGCAGCGGAGGGAGAGACGGAGGCGGAAACGGCUCACCACGCCUCUCACCCUCAUGCUCUCGGCCUCGCCCUUGCCCUCGCCCGCGCACCCCCCACCUUCCUCGCCUCCGACCCCACCGAGGCCGCGUCGUGACUCUUUUUUUUUUUCCUCUCCGACUCUUCUCCACCGUCUCCAACAACGACGCCUCUCUCACCCUUCCCGGCCCUUCUUGUCCUCUCUCUUUCUCUCCUCCUCUGCCGCCUCCGACGACGAUGCAUCUUUGCCGACGCUGACACCGGGGAGGUCGCUACGGCGCUACAGCCUCGGAGCGGGGCGUCCUUAGUGGCGUCGUCGCCGGCGCCGUGGCCGUUGGCAGAGAGGGGUGACAAAAAAAAUAUUAUAGAAGAAGCAAGAAAAAAAAAAUAAAGAUAAAAAAUUAUAGAAAAAGAAAGAUGAAAAUGAAAUUGCACUGUUAAAAUAAAAUUAUACUGUUUUAAAAGAACGUUGUACUAUUAUGGAUAUAAGUUGUGCUACUUGAGAUAUAAACUGCAGCUUUAAGAUGAAAAUUAUACUCUUUAAACGAAAAUUAUACUUUUUGAGAGAUAUUUACACUGUUUCUCCUCUUAUUGCACCCUUUCAGAUAUAAAUUGUAUUCAUUAAGAUGAAAGUUAUAUUUUUUAAACGAAAAUUGUACUUUUUGAGAAAUAUUUAUACUGUUUCUCCUCUUGUUGCAUUAUUUUUUUUCUUGUUGCACUACUUUUCUCGUGUUACGCUGUUUUUCCUCUUAAACUGCAUCAUUUAAGAAGAGAAAUAGUGUAACAAGAGCAAAAAUAGUGCAAUAAGAGGAGAAACAGUGCAACGAGAGAAGAAGCAGUACAACAAGAGGAAAAACAGUAUAAAUAUCUGUUAAAGGAAUGCAGUUUACAUCUCAAACAGCACAUCUCAAAUGCAGUUUACAUAUAUAUAUAUAUAUAUAGAGAGAGAGAGAGAGAGAGAGAGAGAGAGAAACGGAGAGAAAGAGUCCGGCUAGUGCUUGUAAAAGUACCGAGCACUUGGUGCUUGUAAUUUUUUUACUAUUAGAUCUACGUCUUUGAUCAUUUUCAGCCGUUAGAUCAUACUAUUCAACCACCCACCCACUCAACCCUAGGGGACCCAUAUCAUCCUAACCGCACAUCCCUUAAUCCAAGGGCUAAAAACUUAUUACAAGCACCAAUGGAUUGGUACUUUUAAAAGUAUAGUAGCUCAAUUUUAAAUAUAUAUAUAUAGUGUAGAGCUACUAUGCUAUCGGAAGUAUAGAGGAUCUGAUACUUCUAAUUUUUUGACCCUUGGAUCAAAAACUAUACGAUAGGGAUGAUUGCAGUCCCUCCAGGGUUGUGUAGUACCUUAGGGUUGAGUGGUCCCCACAGGAUAAUAGUAUUAAUCCAAAGGUUAGAAAUGAUCAAAGGGGUUGAUCUAAAGGCCAAAAAAUCGGAAGCACCAAAUCUUCUAUGCUUCCGAUAGCAUAGUAGCUCUACAUAUAUAUAUAUAUAUAUAUAGGGAUGCUAUGCUAUGCUAUCGCAAUCCCCUUAGGGUUGAGUUGUCCCCCUAGGGGUGAGUGGUCUCCAUUGGUUAAUAAUAUUGAUCCACUAGUUAGAAAUGAUCACUGGGGUUGAUCUACGGGCUAAAAAUCGGAAGCACCAACCACUUUAUAUUCCGAUAACAUAGUAGCUCUACUUAUAUAUAUAUAUAUAUAUAUAUGCUAGGGCUGAUAUACUCUUAUGAGUAUAGUCCCCUUUGUACUCAUAAGUUUUUAACCAUUGGAUGAAUAGAUGUGCGGUUAGGAUUAUAGUGGUCCCGGUUAGGUUAAUAGUGGUCCCCUACGGUUGAGUGGGUGGUUGGUUGAAUAGUAUGAUCUAACGGAUGUAAAUGAUCAUAGUAGUAGAUCUAACGGCCAAAAAUUUAUGAGUACAAAGGAGACUAUACUCAUAAGAGUAUAGUAGCCGGACUCGCUUCCGAAUCGACGAUCCAUUCUAUUAAAUAUGAUCUAGAGUAUUUGAAACUUCUACAAAAUAAAUUUCGUAAUUUUUCGAAAUCAUAAUAAUGUCCAUCAAGCGGGCAUAAAAUGAACAAUCAAAAUCGAACGACGCCUUAAAAUGGAUGAUCAGAUACUUCAAUUUAAGAUCGAAGUUAUUGAUCUUUUUCUAGGUAGUGAAUAGAAUUUUCUGUCAAAAAUUCAGCCUAUUCGGAUUCUUUUGCACCGUUAAACUAGCAAAUAUUCCAUACCAGCCGUUAAAAAUUAUCAAUUUUGUGAGCAUAUUUGAUCCUAAGGUAAAUGAUAUUGAAAAAUUAUGAAAUUUGAUUUUUAGAAGUUUUAAAUGCUCUAUAAAAUAUUUAACGGUGUAGAUCGUCGAUUCGGAAGCUAUCAUUGAAAACGACUUAUGAGUACGAAAACGAUCGUACUCAUAAGAGUGUAGUAGCCGGACUAUAUAUAUAUAUAUAUAUAUAUAUAUAGAGAGAGAGAGAGAGAGAGAGAGAGAGAGAGAGAGAGAGAGUUGNNNNNNNNNNNNNNNNNNNNNNNUAUAUAUAUAUAUAUAUAUGAGCUAGGCUCCUAUGCUUUCGAAAGUACGGAGGCCUCCGUGCUUAUAAGUUGUUUUCAAUGAGGGGACGUCCGAUUCGGCGAUCCAUUCCAUUAAACAUGAUCUACACUAUUGGAACUAUCUAGAAACCAAAUUUCAUAAUUUUUUGACUUCGUUUGCCUAGUAAACGAGUAGCCUCAAAAUGAACGGCUGAAAAUAAAAAUCUCAAAAAAAAAAUAGUGAUAAAUGACUCAAAUGAGGUCUAGCUGACGCUGUUAGAUAAAAUAGAAUUAGAAAAAAAGCAUAUAGGGAUAUGCUUUUGCAUUCUACAGUGGGACGCGGAAAAUAUAUCAUAACCGACUCAUCACAAUAUACGGAACGCAAUAUUACGUAUGGAAACAAACAGGAUAUUUUUCCAUCGUACUUUCUCACCGCACGUAACGCAAUCCCAAACGAAGCCUAAAUAAUACAAAAAAUUUUCUAUCAAAAUUUUAUCUGAUUUGAAUACUUCUACACCGUUAAACUUGCAAACAAGAUAUAUUAACUAUUAAAAAUUGUUGAUUUUGAAUCCGUUCGAUUGCUAGGUAAAUGAUAUCAAAAAAUCGUAAAAUUUAUUUUCUAAAUACUUUAAAUAUGUUAGAUCAAAUCUAACGGAGACGAUCGUUAAUUCGAAAGCUCCAUUGUCGAAAGCCUCCGUACUCCUAAUAGCACACAAGGCGUACUCUCUCUCUCUCUCUCUCUCUCUCUCUCUCUCUCUCUCUAUAUAUAUAUAUAUAUAUAUAUAUAUAUAUAUAUAUAUAAUUGAGUUCCUAUACUUUUAAAAGUACCAAGUUAUUGGUGCUUGUAGAUUUUUAACCAUUAGAUUAAGAGAUAUGCGGUUAGGAUGAUGUGGGUACCCUAGGGUUGAGUGGGUAGUUGGUUGAAUAGUAUAAUCUAAUUGUUGAAAAUGAUCUGAGGAGUAGAUCUAACGGUAAAAAACUUACAAGCACCAAGUACUUGGUGCUUUUACAUGCACCAUAGCUGGACUCUAUAUAUUUAUUUAUUUAUUUAUUUAUUUAUUUAUUCAUUCGGGUCCGGGUUCGGGUUCGGGUCGAGUAAAUACAAAAUUCUUAUCCAUAUCCAUAACCGUCGGGUUUUUAUUUUCUAUACCCAUAACCAAAUCCAUAUCCAUUUAGAUCGGAUAAACUCACCUUUUCGGAUUCAGAUUCGGAUAAUAGUUCAAUACCUAUUGACAUCCCUACUGCCAAGUUAUAUAUUUCUAGAUAACUUUUGCCAAAUUAUAUGCUACCUAAAUAAUAACCAGAUCGUUUAUCACCAUUUAAACUUUAAACUUUGAAAUUACUAAAAAACUUUUUUCGUCAUGUACGCGAUAAUCACGUUUUGACAGUAAUCAAAUGACUUGAUGGAGAGUUCAAGGAGGCAAUUGAUUGCAAUGAAUUGAUUAAUUGUUUAUGUUAAAUCUGAAUUAUUGGAACUUCAGGUGAUGGAUAUCAAUUAGGUAAAAAUUCAGGUGAAUUUGGAGUUUUCUCCUUUUCUUUUAAUUGAUUAGAUUAAUACUACAAUAACAAUAUCUAACCUUCCCAAUUAGCACACAUUUUAGAUUCAAGAAUAAUUAAGUAACUAGUAUAUAUCCACGGUUGCAUGUGUACAUGAGAGCAAAAAAAAAAAAAACAAGCAUACCUCAUGAAAAAGUUGUAUAGCUCAUCUUCAGUAAACGGGUAGCCAUUAGAGAAAGUUAGAAAUAAUGUCCUCUCAUCCCGUGGAAUGUCGCAACGCGCGCGCGGCAGCUCUUGUGCUAGAAUGUCCAAGUUUCUAUUGAAGAUGGCCAUGUAAUGUUGUGGAGAAAAGUUGGUCCCAAAUGUCAAGUGAUCAAUUGGAAUUGGUUGUCGGUUGGAGGGAGAAAUUGCAUUAUUAAAGCACGGUCUAAAUAUCGAAACAUCGAUGUUGCUAUUUCGAGGUUGCAAGAAACCUAAGUUUCCUAGUAAUGCCCCAGAAGGAUAGAUGGAUUCAAUUGCAUGUUCAGCUUCCACUAAAUUAGGGUUUAUAAGGUUAUGUGAUGUGAUCCUGUUAGCACUUGCACUAGUGCCUUCCCCAUAGGGCACAAAAUGUUGAGGGUUAGAAGUUCUGGUGACAGUGAAGCUAUUGUCUCCGAAGGUACUACUGCUGGUUUGCCCUAAGUUGUUGUUAGUUGCAGUAGAUCUCGCCAAAUUCUUGCCAUCUAUAUAGGUAUGACUCAUCUGGCGCGCUAGCGUCUCCAGUUGACGAGUGUUGGACUCCAUCUCUGCUCUGGCCUGAUGAUCAUCGAAAAGCUUACGACAGACGUUGUUGAGGAAAUAAUCUAUCCCGCGGAACGCUUUCUCACGAAAACAAACGCUCGUCGGUGUUGGUUCGAAAGAGAGAUCGUUAGGGUUUGGCAGAGGCUCAUCAUGAUAGAGGGCUUCUACAAAUCUUUGUCCGACAGAAGCAACCGUAAGCACCAUGUCAUCGGAGAAGGAGUUUAUGCGGCGAAGGAUGUCAGAAUGACCGUUUUCUUCCAGCCAUAACCAGAAGGCGAUGAUCUUCAUCGAAUGCGAGGGGUCCACUCCAAGUGUGAAAACCAUGCGAGAGAAAAGUUGACGCUCUUCGGAAUGGUACAAUUGCGCAAUAUUGAUCGGAAAAUGCGGGUCCAUAGUGAGUUAGAGAUCGAUGAGCGAAUUGAGGAAGGAGUUUUUUCUUUUUAUUUUUGGCCUGAAAAGAAAAUGAAAAGAGGGAUAAGAGGGAGUAGCACAUUCUCAAGUAAGACAAGGAAAGCAUUAAAGCAAAGAUGCUUUCUAUAGGUGGUCGCAGAAGAAAUGCAAUACAUGGCAACAAAAGAAUGGCGAAAAUUAGAUGUUCCAGAUAGUAUAGCCUGCAGUGAAUCCACUCUUUUAUUGUAGUCACAUUAUACAUGCAUGGCUUGCUUCCGGAUUUGGAAAAACUUUUUAAAAAUUUAAAAUGCCACAUACAUGCAUACACAUACGUACAUGGAUGCAUAUAUGUAUGCAUACGUAUAUACGUACACGCCUACAUUUAUGUACUUAACUACAUACACGUACAUGCAUGGACAUGCAUAUAUAUAUAUAUACAUACAUACAUGUACAAACAUAUACGGAUGCAUGCAUGCAUGUAUAAAUUCGUGCAUGCUUUAUGUGCAUAUAUUUGAAGCUAGAUAUGUAAUUGAUCUUUAUAUUAUUUAAUUUGUAAAUAUUUACAAUAAGUAUGCAUAUUUAUAAUGUGGCAAUUUUUUAACCCAAUUUUUUUAGGUAGCAUAUCUGAAGAUGUGUCUACAUUAAUAUUAAUUAAUAUAUCUCCAUUAUUUCUUAAUUAUCACACUAAGUUGAUGGGCAUUAAUAUCUCCAUUAUUCCUCAAUUAUCACAGUAAGUUAAUGCGCUUAUGACACAAUGCAACAUAUUUUUGGAGCCUCUAUAAAAAUAAAGCUUAGAAAUCGACAGGUGGUAUGCAUAUUAUUCAAUUUUUUUUAUGUCACGUCCUGAACUUCAGCAAAAGCUCACAGUAACGUGUACAAACCCACCGUGUACACCAAACAGCCACAAUGCACACAAGGCGUCUACCAAAAGAAUGAACAAGUUCAAAUUCUAACAAAACUAUCAGAGCGAGUAAUGUAAAAUCAUUAAUGUUCUCUCACAAAGAGAUCUACAAAAUAUACAAAUGUAUACAACUAAACCAAGUAUCUAACGGCAGCUAUAAAUCAAAUACAUAAUACAUCACUGCCAUAAGUACAAAAAGAAUGAUAACAUCGGGUCAAUCUAAUGUAUCUCCGUAGGGGCUCUAGCUAGUCGCCAACCUCUUGCCACGAUCCCUAGCCUCUUCCGCCGUGGAAGACUCUACAAUAAAAACUGACAACAAAUGGGAGUGAAAACUAUUAAACAAUAGGUUUCAGUGGGUAAGCCGCCGAGAGUGACGAAGUACACCACUAGAUCAAUUGAGGCAUGUGUAAACAACAGUAGAUAAGCAAAGUAAGUGUAACAAUAGAUACAGCGAGUUACUAUAACAUGCCUCUACGUACUAGAUAGUUUUCUAACAUGUCAUAUGCAUUCAUUAAUCAUAUGCAAGUUCUAAAAGUUAUGCCAAAUAUCAGUUUGAACAUCUAUAUGUCAUGAUUCUUGCAGAAUAUCCUCAUUAUAGUUGAUUAACUAAUGACAUCCUGUGAUUAAUAUCCUACACUAACAAGAGUGUAAAUGCACUCGUACUAUCACUAUACUAUUGACUAACAUGGAUGUCAACCUCCUAGUAUGCUCACUAUUAGGUUUAUUCAACUAAUGACAUAAAGUAUCUUUACUACUAUGUCCAUCUAAGGUUUAAGUCACUUACAUUAAUCCAAUUAACAUGAGACUUACAUUUGGUAAAGUCCCGGCUUGUGCUGUGCCGAAUGGCCCUGUGGAAGUCAACACUACCCACAGCAAUCCACUUCAGCGCUCAGUCUCGUACAGAAGCGAGCAAUCUGUCGCUAGGCUAACUCCAGAGUGCCGACUUAUGAGGGACGACCCUCACAAGCAUGUGCGAAUGAGCACUUGGCAAGCAAGCGUAAUCCAUAGCAUAGGUAUCACAUGUUUAUCAUGUCUCUAAUAUAGAAUCUCAACUCGACACAAGGUCGACACUGUAACACUAAGUCAUAAUCCACUAUCAACUACUUGAUGACAGACUUCAACUACUAGAUAAUAUGACUUACAUAAAUACAUGCUUUACAUUCAUAUUGAUGAUUCUAUCAGGCUAUACCUGUACACUCAAACAUAGUCCUCUCACUACUCCUUAUAUAUAAGAAAAGUGGUUUACUAAGAUCAUAUCCAAUGACUUAGGGCACAUAUUCUAUAGUUCUACAUAUCUCCACUAUUUGGAGUAAACAAGUAAUAGGCAAUUACUUUUACUUGACCAUACAAGUAAAUCAUCAUGUCUAUUUCUAGUUAUUUACUUGAUUACAUUCGAGUUAUGCCAUAAUGCUAAAUUCUAGUCACUUAGCUAGAUCAUACACAAUAAUAUGAAGUUCCGGUUAGUCUAUCAUGUGAAAGUGGGAACCAACUGGUUAAUAUAAGUAAACAAGAUAUUCUAUAAAAUACUCUUCACAUGAUCUCUACACAAUUCAUUCUACACUAUGAUUGUAUACCCAGGUAAAUUUAUUCUGUAUGAUAUGCUCGAAGUUCAGACAUCAUAUUUACAACAUAGAAUUGCAUGAUUUAACUUGAAGAUUAAAACCAUUAUACACUGUUGACUUAGCUAUACAUCUAACUAAGUGCCGUAUUCAUAGCUUUAUCUCAAUGCCCUAGUGAAUGAUGUUCUCUCGUUAACUUGUCGAUACAAGUACAUUAACAUCAUGUAAUACAUGUGAGACUAACAAGUAAUCUCUAAAUGCAGAGCAAUUUCAUAAUUCACCCCUACUACAUAGAGGUUCCCUCUUAACCGAUAUGGUAUGCAUAUUAGUGUUGUCCUAACUCAUUCGAGUAAACAUGUAUUCACAUGGAUAUGCCACAAUUCCGAUUCUAUAAUGUCAAAGAAGACAUAGAGGAAAUUCACCCAUUUCGGGAAGGUCAAACCCACCAAUUAGUUGAUGCCUCUUGUCAAAUUCGUAAGUAAGAGUAUCUGCUAUUCUCCAAGUACCCUAGCAAGCAAUUCAAAAUCAGCUAGGAGCAUAAUUCCCAUUUCCACACUAAAGUAUACAAAAACUCACGAAGUUACUCAAUUUAGGCAAGAUUCACACCUAAUAUUGAUCCAAGGUUAAUUUCCACCUUACUUUAGGUUAGAAUGCACCAAAUCUAAACCGUAAUGACCACCCAAAAUCUCAGUCAAAAGGUCCCCCACCAGCUAUAAACCUGUUGCGACCAAACAUCAAAACAGCAUUAGAACCCUUAUAUAAUAUACUACAACAGAAUUAGGUUAUAGGGACACAUGUUUGGGACACUUUUGUGUAAGUGUCCCAUGUAUGCUAAAACUUAAAAAAACAUCUACUUAUGCCUAAAUAUAAAGCCCAAUCCAACCAAAAAUAAAAUAUUACUCUAUUCAACCCACCACACCCAGNGGCGGUUGCUAAAUGCUUAAAUAAGUGUUGGUAAAUUAGCAACACUCUUUUAGGUUAUAGCAACACUCUUUAACUGUCACUAUAUACCUAGCGACCCCACAUAUAGCAACACUUUUUAAAAGUGUCGGUAAUUUUAGCUAGCAGCACUUUUUUGACAUGUACCUACAUUUAAAAGUGUCGCUAUAGACCGCUUUUAUUGUAGUAUAACCACAUAGUAUAGGUUAGAACCUCACAUAUUUAGAUUCCCAACUUGAAAUUCCACUUCUUUCUGGCUGAAGUACACUAAAUUUAGCUUUCAAGCAUCACAAAACGCAGCUCCAGGUGUUAAGAAACCUGCUGUAAACAUGCACCAAAACUGCAUCAAUAAUAACACUUCUACAACACAUAUAGCAUCUUAUCUAAAUAAAUUCUUACCUACUAUUAUGCUAAUGCUUAAAUCUCAAUCUCGGUUUAGGUUGGAACACCAAAUCCAACUUUUGUAAGCUUCCCAAUUUCAGCCAAACAAGAUCAAUUGGUUCAAAGCACCCUACUGCGAGUUAUGUUAAAACAUGCAUAAAGUCACAACUACAUCAUUCAACUAAGGAGCUACUAGGUAAUAUACCUUUAAACAACUUUGGUUCAGCUUUUCCUAGGAUUAAAGUUGAAGAAUCAUAGCAAAAACUUGCUUCUAUAGCUGCUGGAACAUCCCUCAAACCAGCUGGUCACAAAGGAACCAAAAACCAUAUAAGUUCAUUACUAUACUUCAAACUAAGAAGUAGUUGCUUAGCUCACCUCAUUCCAACUUCGAUUCAGCUACCAGCAGUUUUAAGGUUGAGAAAACUCAUCAAAACACCUCUCCCACAUUCCAAGAUUUAAUCCUCAAACCUCUAGACCAGUUAAUCCAAGAGAAGGGAAGAAAAUAAUAAGCUCACAUUACCACCCUCUUCGAAGUAGAAGAUCCUAGAGAGAGAAAGAGAGGAGAGGGUUUAAACCCUGUUUCUCAGAGCUUGGGCAAGAUAAGCAUCAGCUGGAUUGAGCUGGGGAGGAUAAGAAUAGAGCUGGAGGAGGAAAAGACCAAUUUAAUUACAAUGUUUACAAAGUGUAAUUAUGAUAUCUUUUUAUGAGAAGAAGAGUUUCUUGGUAUAAAGUCUUAGUGUUUGCCUCCAAAAGCAACAUUUAGUGGAGAUUCGAUGUUCUCUUGUAUUGAAAAGUUGGCGGGGACAUAGUCAAAGAGUCAAACCUUGAAACAAAUUAAUUGAUUGCAUGCUUCUUGAAUUUGAUCGAAUUUGUCUAACUCUUUUCAUUAUUCUUUUAUUGUGGAUUUAAUUCUUGAAUUGAUUUUAUUGUAUAUUUAUUUUAGAAACCUAAUUUGCCCUCUCUUUUAGGUUGUCAUUUCAAUUCUCAUUUGCAGUCUAGUUGAUAGAUAAGCAUGCUAUCUAUAGCGCGCACCAAUGCAAUCCUAAGAAAGGUAAAAUAAAAAUAUUAUUAAUUACAAGUCAAUUAAUUAAAUUUACUUAUACCAGUCAAAAGACAUACCACAAAAAUAAGAUUUUUUUUUUUUUGAAUUAUUGCUGAUGUUUGGAGCGGUGAUAGGUUGUGAUGAAAUCUCUCAAUUACUUACAUUUUUUGAUAUAGUAUAUAAAAUAUCUUUAUUUUUUUUGAAAUGUGAAGCAACUAGGCUUCGAAUUUAGGAUCUCGGAUAGCAACCACCAAGCCCUUUACCGCUUGCGCUAGAAACGGUCAGUUAAAGUAUAUUAAAUAUUGCUAUUUGUUCUUCAGUGGUGACAUAUCAUGUAUCAUAUAUGUAUCAUGAAGAAAUUAUUAUUGUUCAAAUAUUUUACAAUAUGAGUUUCCAUUUGAAACACUAUCUCUUAUAUCUCCUUUCAUCACUGUGAAGAAUUUCAUUAACAUAAUUUGCGCGGGGUAAAGCCGGAGUAUGAAUAAGUGUCCCCUCUGUCACAUUGUUUGCCAUCAAAAAAACAAUAUUGGCCACGAACUCAUUAUCAUUUUAUUGAAUCCUUCUCCAACCACUUGGAUUACGAUUUUUAAACAAAAUAAAGGCAAAAAAAGAGAUUGAAAUGGAAAAAAGAAGGGCCAAUAGUUUUUCGGUAAAAGGUUAAAAACACCCCAAUAGUUUGUUUUUGAAGAACUAAUGGCUAGGGUUUUUUGAAAAACUAGUUAUUUUUUCCAUCAUGUAAAAAAUACAGUAUUUUAUCCAAACGUUGAAAAACAGAGUAAAAAAUUCGAAAAUAUUCAAAAUUUGGCACACAACCUAUUACAAUUGAAAGAAAAAAAAAAAUCUCUUUUUAAUUCUUGAAGUUGCCAAACAUGCCCCUUAAUAUCUUUAAUAGCAAUAUGUUGAAUUUUUUGGUACACAUUAUGUUCUCAAUAUCAAGCUAAAGUUCGUACUUGUUAUACUUUUUACCUUUUUUCUGUUUGUAUUUUGAAAUGUGUAGGGGAUAAAAAGGGGUUUUUUAGUGCAAUAGUCUUCUCCUAAAAUUUUAUUCUAAAAAUAGGCCUAUUAACUUUUUAUUUAUAAAUAUGAUCAUAUAAAAACUGUGAAUGAUUCACCGCUUUUACAAAGAGUAAGCCAUUCAUCGCCGCUUUUAAAAGCGGUAAACCAUUCACCGCUUUCUUUCUUUUCCUCACUUCAUUCUAUAUUUCUACGAUGGUAAAAGCGGUAAAUGGUUCACCGCUUUUAUUCUUUUUCUACUUCUAAUGAGAAGUUAUGAAUGCGGUGAAUCAUUCAUCGCAUUUAGAGGUCUAUUUUUAUAAUUAUUUUUAAAAAAAAUUAUUUUUACAAUUAUAAAAAUCGAUAGGAUUAUUUAUAAAAAAAAAUUCGAUAAAAAAUAUAGUAGAUUUUUUACUUUCACAAAUAAGAGAGUAAAUGAAAAAUAAUACAAGUGCCAAACAACAGAAGCCCUAGCUACACAGUCUGAUAAUGGUUUUACAAAAUUGGAGAAAGAUAUUCCAUAACAAAGACUCUAGCUCAAGUAAAAGGCGCAUUUUACGAGAAGAGCUGAUCUAAAAUAUGUUGGCUUAAAAGGGGCAGCAUCUUAUUUUAUGGUGGAAGGUCAGAGUCGAGUCAUAUUCAAAGUGACAUGAGAUUGGUUGGAUCGAGUAACAAUCAAAACCCGUAGACGCUGUAUCUGUACAUUUUAAUGAAUUGGUUAUAUCUUUCUAAAAGCUCGGGCUUUCGAGAUUUAUGAUUAGUACCAACGAUCCGACAAGAUAGAUAUUGCCUAAGGAUGAAUAGCUCUUAUCGAGGCUUUAGUUAUCUUAUGUUACGACUCUUUACGCGAGCCAAACUCCUAUAAAGAACUUAGUACAUCAAAUUACAAUUAUUUCGCCAUAAGCUCUGGAGGUUAAUAAGUUAGUCUCCAAAGUUUGAAAUUUGUUGAGCCCAUGAAACUUAUUAGAGACUACAUAAUUAACCCUUGUAACUAUAGUUAUGGUUUAUUGCAUGACAAGCUAGGUUAACAGGGGUAAAGAACACUUGACGAAUUAUUAUAUUUUAAUUGGAUUUUAUCAUUUCUUUAAUUUAUACGAAUGCUAAAAGCAUUAUAAAAUUUACACAACUUACGGUUCAAGAGAAACACUUGAGGAUAAAGCAAAAAACAGGGUAAUUAAUGAAAAUAAACCUAAAAUAUAAUGUCGAGAUGGAUAAGAAAACUAUAAUUCAGUGAGGUCUUUGAAAAAACCAAAAAAAAAAAAAAGUACAAUAUAAGAGUGACUGUUUCUACUAAAGGAAGUGCUUACUAAUAUAUAAUUAAAUUUUCUCUCAUUAUUUUGGCUUUUUACAAUUUUGUUUUAACAUACAAGAAUGAUUUGCGUUUAGCUAAAAUGCUUAUGAAAAGAACGCAAAUUUUCUGAAUGGGAUGUAGGAAGAGAAUCACAUAUAUUGUACAUUAAUGUAUUUUCUAAAUCUGAAAUUGGUCCUGAGAAGAAAGAAAGGAAAAAAAGAAAAAAAGAAAAUCUUCUUUCACCACAUUUGGCUACCACUCAUUCAACACUCACCAAAUGAUAUUAUAACAUGUUCAUUCCCUGAAUUCAUAUUUUCUGACAAAGUUGGCCAUCUUACAUACCAUGUAACUUUCCAUCUAUACUGCACAAAUACUUCAGCUCUCAUGUCCAUAUCGGACAUGUAUCGAUACCAGUACUUGUUCGAUACACACCCGACACAUGCUGAUGAUAAGGAUUCGAACAAUGAUACAGAUACAAAUGUGCCAACACAUACAUAUAAGCAACUAAUGACAAAGAUUUGGACAAUGAAGUAGAAGGAUGAAACUUUACUCGAAGACAUCAAACAAUUUGUUGAUAGUCACACAUCAUACCUUCGGUGUUUUGAAAUGUGGAUUAAUAUCAAGCAACAUUUAUUAUGCAGAAUCUCCAUGAAUUUCAUGAAUUUAUGCUGACUGCAUCCAACUCCAGAGCCACAAAGCCAACCGCUUUAUGUGUUCGGAUACCUAGUUCAGAAAGCAAAUGUAUCAAUGUUUCCAAUUUCAACAAAUAAGAAAAACAAAAUGUUAUAUAUCAUUUAACUCGUUAACAAGCGGAGAUAAAAUAAAAAUUCACCAUUAUAUAAGUUAGAAUUAGAGAAAAUGUUUUAACUGCUAGCAGCCGAUGAAGUUGAAAGUUAUUUUGAAAGUAAGAAGCUCAAUAGCAGUAUUAGUGCGACAAGAUCAAAAUUUGCAAUUAAUGGCACACUACACAGAGGUUUUGACUCACACUUUGAUUAUCUCACAAUAAGAAACCUCCGCAAGGGAAAAGUGAUAGAAUUUUGAUCCUUCUGGAGCACAACUCUUUGCAAAAUCUUACAUGGGAGAAAAGCAUUUCUUCAUAGUGCGUAAGCCAAAGACCUCAGCAUAUGCCUAAGAGACGACCAAAUCAAAUGAUUCCUUAUUUUAGGGGUACUCUUAAUGUUUUAGAUCACAAAAGUUGGUCUUGAUGGUUUAAAACUUUUUGUUGAUCAUACUGUAUUUAACAUAAAGUGAACAUGUUCUGACAGACAGCAUGAUAGAACACUUGAAAGUGCUUAAUCUAGGAUAGUAUCAGGAAUAGCAAUGAAGGCACAAUUUAGAACAAGAAAUUAUCUACCAAAGAAAAGUGCGAAAAAUGCAACCGUCACUUCAGAAUUUAGACAUGGCUGGCAAAUAAAUCACAAACGACAGAUUACAGUGACUUACAACUUUGAUUUUGUUCUUGCAAGUGGUGCUUGUAAUGCAUCAUAGUGUCCAUAACCAUGAUAAAUCACACGAAUUGGAUUUUCCUUGCCGUACUCCUGACCAUACUCUGCUAUGAUUCUGGGGCUAUCAGAUCCCUUUGUAUACAUGUAGACGGUUAUUGGCAUCCUGCAAUACCAUAUUUUCUUUAGAGAAAACUCUGUAAAAGUUUAUGAAGUCAGAAAUAUGUCAAAUUUUCAGAAAAAGAAACCACUUCGUUUCUGGAUUUUUCAAUAAGGGUUCUUUUGUUUUUAGAAUUUUAUCACUUUCCAACUUUUAGGACCAAAACUUGACCUCCAUCAGAAGACCCUAGUUUCCAUUGUUCAAUGGCACGGCCCGGAACUCUCUCUAUCAAAUUAGCAACUGAUUACACAAUAGAGUACAAAAGGUGUAAUAAAAAGUAUAUUAAGAGCAAUUUGAAUAUACUAGUGACAACAAAAAUGAAUAAUUUCAUGCCGAGUGUUGUGGUACAUAGGCAUUGGAUCAAUGGCACAUAUCGGCACAGCCUGGCAUGACAACAUGGCGUACCGUGCUGCCAAAGCGCUCACCACAAGCCCAUAACUUGGCAUUUACAUCUUUUAUGUGCAAUUAUGAAAUAUGAUUUUUAUACUUCAAAAUAGUGCAUCAAUCAUUCAGAAUUGUGUAAGGAAAAAGAAUUUUGAAAAUUGACCUAAAACUGUUUAAAAAAGGGGUCUAAUUUCUCAGAAGUUGAAAAGAAUGUGGAUCUCUUUUUUCCUUUUAUUUAUUCCCGCAAAAUGAUCUAAUUAGAAAAAUAGCUAGUAUCAACCGAAGGACAUGGGAACACAUAAGCAGCUCGGGCUCUCCUCCCCAUAUAUGAGGUUGUCUAAUAUGUGUGACAUAUGUAUCAAAAUCUUCUUCAAGAAACCUGCAUAGAAAAAAAAAAUAUUUCAUAACUGGAGUGAUAUUGAUAAGGUUCAGUAGACACAUGACAACAAAGCUGAUAUUAUCAAGAAGUAGAAACUGGAUUUUAUUGUGCAUCAAUGGAAUUUUCGCUUUAUGUAAGUAUUACAUCCUUUAGUAAGACAUAUAUUGAUGUAUUUGAAAGUUGUAAACCAGAGAGGAGCUCUCAUAAACUCAUAUGAUCUAUAUAAAUCCGAAGGGCUAGUCACAAGAUUAGGUAUGAAUUUGUUUUCAUGGCGUUGAAAAUUCGUUAUGGAAAAAACAUAUGACACCCCUACGACGGUAGGUUAGGUGGUGCUCGGUCUCUGAUUUCCAGCUUUUCAUCCUAUUAGAUGACAUCAAAUAAUAUGUUGUUUGCUUUAAGAAAAUUCUGUCAGAACUGAAACAAUCUCUUUAACUUUUCCAAUGACCGUGAUAGAUACUAGAAGAUAAUUUAUAACUCGGCAGCUAUUAUGUAACAUUUUAGAUUUGGACAGAAAACCAUUACGGUACAUUACGCCAUUAGUCCCUAAACUAUGAAUCAAGUUUCAUUUUGCCCCUAAACUCUGAAUUAUUGCAUUAGAGGCUCAAACUUCUAAUGUGUUUCAAUCUCAAUCCUACUGUUAGCUUUCAUCACCCAAUGCUGAUGUGGCAUUCCAAGUCAUUAUUCCGUUUUAAUCCGAGUCAUAUGAUUUUCUGGUAAAACGAGGUCAACUGGGCCCAAUAUGCCAAAUCUCACUUCAAAAAUGAAAUCAUUCCUGAAUUACGUGGGUCCCAUUCAACCAUCUUCCUAUGAAUACAUAGCUGACAGGAUUUUUGAACAGUAACUUAGCAUCCACAUCAAACUUCAGCCUCUUAGGGAGGCAGAAGCUACCCAGCAGGACUAGAUUGAAAUUUUAGAGGUUCUAAAAGAUUGAAAAUGUUAAAGGUUCAAACCCCUACUGUAACAAAUCGAAGUUUCAGACCAAAAGUUAAACUCAAGCACUGGUUUAUGAACUAAAUGGUGUAAUGCAACUGAUAACAUCAAGUUCUACAUGGAACUAUGCAGGCCUUUCCCAAAGUCAACUAGAAAUGUUAAUUGACAGGUUCAGAUUAACAAAAAGCAACGUCUAGAACCUAUUUUCAAAUGACCUACGAAUAAAGCAGUGACUGUACAUUAUCGCCAUUCAUAGUUUGUACUAUUGCUCUUCAUGUCUGUCUUGUCAUCUUCUUUCCCAAGUUCUCAAAUGAUUUUUCUCUUCCUAUAUUAAAUCAUCUCUUCUCUCUAUAAUUAGACUAAAUUCCUAGCAAGGUAUCAAGCAAAAUCACCAUAUUGUGGUUCACAUAUGACAAAAUGACCAAAAAAUCAAGAAGAGUACCCCACAUUUUCACUCCUGGCCUUAGUCUAUAAGCUAGAGUAAAGAUAAUUUUAGAUCCAGUGAAAUCUAUCUAACAUUAGAUCAACAAUAAAAUAUGAAGAUAAAAUUUUAAAAAAAAAAGCAGACCACUCGGUGUCCCCACGCCUUCUAACAAAUUCAUCUGCUACCUGUAAAGGAAUAAAAAAAAAAAACAACAACAGUAUUAGAGAUUUAGUUAGAAGUAUUAUUAGAGAUUUAAUUAAAAACAAACUGGUAGAAGCAGCACAAACAAUUUCAAAUAGAUACCCCAGGAAAAUUGGAGUGCGAUAUAUGCAAGUCAUGUAAAGCAUAUAUAUCAAUAAAAUACCUUCUGAAAACUACAUUGCAUUGAUUUCAUUAAUAUAAUUCUUCUUCCAUAGAAACAGUGCUAAUUAAUACAACAAUAAUAGUCUUAUUGAAAAGUUUAAAUGAAUGCAAAUGAAAUACAUUUGAUCUAAGCUCAUCUGCUAGUUCUUUUUGAAGACUCUCACUGGGGCAAGGUUUCCCCGCUCUCAGACAAGCUCCAUAAGCAACAGCUCUAAACAAACAUCUUCCAUCUCCUCGUAUUCCUGAAAUUCAAAGGGAAGAUUACUGCUGCACUUAUGAGCAAGUAAUUCAAAAUAUUUAGGAAAAGUGACUAUCAAAAGCAGCCAACUAGCGUGGUAUCAAAUAAAGAAACAUAAAAAGCUGAUGACACAUAAGUUAUGCAAUAAUUUGUUAAGAUAUUAUAUAGGCUCUAGCAAUAGGAGAAAAGGAGAAAUCAUAAUAUUUGUUUUUGAAGCUUGGACAUACUUGCAGCAUAUACAUGUAGUUGUACACACAUGCAUCCAAUUAUGAUCCUAAGAGGACCAUUACUUAGUGCAGUGGUAAAAGGCUUAGCACUAAAACCAAAUGGCCGUAGGUUUAAUUCCCACUUGCAUCCAAAAGAUGCUAAGAGUCCAAUAUUAGAACUGCCCCAAACUACAAACCCCCCCACCCCCCAAUCCCCUCUUCUCCACUUCCACUAGAUGGCAGCCUGGGUGUUUGUAUCAUUGCAUGUAAGUGCUUAUGUAUGCUAGGAACUGGAACCAAACAAUACAGGCAGUGCCUUCUAGCUCCCAUAGUUCGGCAUUUUUGAGACCACCGAUAUCACAUAAAUGAUAAAACUAAAAGAGUCAAUAAUCUAAAAUCUUUCUCUAAUACAAUGAAACUCCUGUAAAAAGUAUUGUGAAAGUUUGAUUGUUUUCCUAAAAUCCAUUUAAACCAAAAAAAAUGAUUAUUCUGGCAUCACAACUCUCCAAAUACAAGAUUUCAAUCUAUAUGGGUGAUCCACUUAAGAACACAUUUUUACUCUAGCUACAGCGGACGAGCAUUCUACCAGGACCGGCCCGGACUUGGUUUCGUUGGGGGCCGGUAGCCCAUCUUAUGUCUCAAAAUUGUCAGGACACAAAUGCAUGCAGGGCACCAUGUACCACACCUAUGAAACCUUAUUGUAGAGGUUUUUUUCGAAAUAAAAAUUAAUCCGUUGGAUGCACUCAAUUACAUUUAAAGGCCUACCUAUUAAAAUUUUACAAAUUUUUAACACCUAUUUUACAUGCAUAAAAUAAUUUUUUCCCCACAAUGUUGAUUUUGGGUACUUCAUGAUGCCUUGAUCAUAGGUUUUCACAACCAAUGAUUUUUUAUAUAUAGACUCUUUAGAUUUUGUACAUCACAUCUAUCGAUUAGAUUUUAAUUUUAAACGACGAAUCAUCAAAUAUUGUAUUUGCUGCAUGACAUAAAUAUAUGUAUUGGAUGCGAGCAAUAAGUAGCCCAGACAAGGACUCCAUGAACGGCUUCAUUAUGAGCACCGUGCAGGCGCUGCUGCCAGUGCGUGCAGGCUCUGCUGCCUCACGCCAUCCACAAAUAGACCAUUUGGGGACCAUCCCCAUGACCGUUUGUCCACUUAAAGCACCACAAUACAAAACUCAUAUUAGUAAUGCUAACCACAUCAAGCAAAUAUAUUGUGCAUAAUGCUAACCACAUCAAGCAAAAAGAUUGUGCGAGAUAUUCCUAUGCUGCAAUGAAACAUUGUAAUCGAGCAAAAGAUUUUCUUAAUCCCUUAGAAAUUUUUACACAUCUCAUUCCAUACAAAAGAAGUUGAUAAUUUUACAUCAAAACUCAAAAGACUUAUAAGAUCAGUUUCAGAAACUGAAAAUCGAAAAAAAAAACCUGAACUGACCAAAUUAACCAAAUUUCUAAUACUUUGAUAUUUAUUAGUCUAGAACUUUCUAAAAAGAAUAUAUUAAUCUUAGAUAAUAAUCAUAUAAUUAGAGACUUUGACCACUAUUAUUAUUAGAUUAAAAUUUUUAACAUAAGAUUAAUAAUACCUAUAUCUUAUUGUCAGUAGUUUACAAGUUUUAAUUCAAAAAUACUAUUCUUUUGAGACCGAAUAAACCAAACCAUAUGAACCGACCGAAUUAUUUCGGUUUGAUUUGGUUCAUAUUUCUAAUACGGUUUGGUCCUAUUUAAAAAAAAAAAAAAAAAAAAAACUGGACAGUGCGACGCUCACCCCUAAUUAAGUAGGGAUCCACCAAUCAUGUAGCAUAUUUAAAUAAAAAACCCAGUCAAUUUCAUGAAAACCUAUGCAUACUCAUACUAUGCAAAUUAAGGCCUCGUUGGGUAUUGUUGCCGUUUAUCUUUUUUUUAAAACACUAAUUCUACAUAAUUUGAAGCGUUGGAGGAAAUACUUUUCUUUUGUUGUUAUAAUUAGUUAGCUUACAAUGCAUCUGGCUAAAUAAUAGAUGACAACUUAUUUAACAGAAAAUUUGGAAGCAAAAAAAAAAAAAAUUUCAAGUUUUUAUUUUUUCUUGCUAAACAAACGUUUUGUGUGAAAGGGUUCAAUCCACUGUCCGAUCCUACACCUUUUGAUACAAAAUUUUAUUUAAAAAAAUAAAAAUCAAACAUUUUAUAUACCAAACGAGGCCUAAAUAUAUGUCUAUGAACAUUAUUCAUCACAAUCAAAAAUUUCAUAUUGGUCCAAAUGAAAAGCAGCAAUUGAAAAAGGAAAAAUUAAAAAAUUCAUAUGUAAAGUAAAGAAAUAAAAUAAACCUAGUUCUGCGUCCAUAGAAAGCAAUGAGAAUCAAAAAGAAAAGCGCCACCCACAACAAAAGAGCACAGGAACAUAAUAACAGACGCAUACUUGAUCGGAGAGCAAAAGCAUAAGUAGGAAGAGCAAGUAUUCGAUCAACAACAUCGCAAGCAAAGAAUCGAGCUAAACUGGCGAAAAAGGCGAGAAAAAUCUCCAAAAAAAUUAUUUUAAAAAAAGAAAGAGAAAAAGAGAAAGAGAUCUCCGAUUGGGGAGUUACAACAACGUACGAAUCGAACGCAGGGUGGAGUGAUCGGAUCCCGACAUGGAUCGGAGAAACCCUCGUUAGGAAUUGGCGACGGUGCCCUAAUCUCAAAGCGGAGGAAUCCAUUGGAGGGGUUGUUUAGAGAGAGAGAGAGAGAGAGAAAAGAAGAGAGGAGGAUCGCGAGAUGGGAAUCGAAUUGGAUGCUCUUUUUUUCCUUCUUGUUUUGCAGGGGGGGAAUAGGAUGCCCGGGAAAUUCUUACAAACGUUAGUAUUUGAAAAGAAUAAUAAUCGCUUCUUUUGCAUAACAAAAUUUAGUCUAUAUUUUAAAAUUUUACAGAUUAAAUUUGAUUUUUUAAAAUAAAUAAUCAAAUUUUCCAUCUUUCAAAAUGUAUAAAAAGUACAUGCAUUAAAUGUCUUGAAAAAUACAACUAACAAAUCAUUAUUACAACUAUACUUUUUCUUAAAAACGAAAUUCUCAUUUAAGGUAUAGAUAGAAAACUUCAAAUAAUAAGAAAAGAAAAGAGAAUGCAAUAUCUUUUCAAAGUAAUACAACAUUUUCUUUCAAAUAGUGCAAUAUUUGUACAAAUAAGACAACAUUACCUUCAAAGAAUUUUAAAUGAUUUUAAUUAAAUAUAAAUAAACUUAAAUGAAAAAUCAAAAUUAAAUUUAAAUUUUAAACUCAAAUAUUGAAUUCAAAUUGUAUGUUCAACUCUUUAAAUUUAAACCGAGUUUAACUUUUAAAUUCAUAGGACUUCCAAUGAUUUAGUUAAAGCCAAGUAAAUUUUGAGCUCAAAUGUUGAAUGGAAACUAUAUGUUUAACUAUUGCAUUUUCAAUUUGAAUUUGAAUUUGACAAUGCAUUAAAAAUAAAAAUUUAAACUCAAAUUUAAAAUUUUGAAAUUUGAGAUAAAAUUCAUAAAUUUGUGUUCAAAACUUAAAUUCUACAUCUUAAUUGUUAAUUUAAAUGUGAAUUAUUUUUUUUUAUUUAAAGAACUUCUAGCAGUUUAGUUUAAAUAUUAAAAAUUUAUAUAUUUUAAAUCAAAAUAUAAAUUUUAGGGGCUUUGCUUAUUUUUCCAGUUUGGCCUAGAUUCUGAAGAAAUGAUUUCUACAUAAUUAAUUUUGAUUUGAAUAAGUGAUUUAGUUUAAAAGUUGUAGAGCGUUUAGCUGAGUUUCAAUAAAAGUAAUUUUUCUAAAAUAAUUUUAUAAAAUUAAUUAGCUAAAAAAUUUUAAUGAUUGUAUAUAAUAAUAUUCUUACUAAAUUUUAUUAUAAAAUAAUUUAAAUUUUGAAUUAAAAUUAAAAUUUUGAUAUUUUAACUUACAAAUCAAUUUGAAAAUUUAAAAUCAAAAAUUUACAAUUUGAAUUUUUAAAGCUAAAUAUAAAUUUUCAAUUUCAAAUUUAAAACAUAAAUUUAAAUUUUGAAUUUUGAAAUUUAAAAUUUAAAAUUUAAAAAAUUUAAAUUUUAAAUUUUAAUUUCUUAAGUAAAAUUUUAAAUUGAAAUAUAAAAUUUUAAAUUUUAACAGUUUAAAUUUCAUAUUUGAAUAUUUAAAAUUUUAAAAAAUAAAUUUUAGUUUUAAAAUUAAUAUUUGAAAUUUAUAAUUUGAAUAAUUAAAACAUAUAAUUUUAAAUUUUAAAUUUUAAAUUUUUUCAUUAAAUUUUAAAUUCUAAAACUUCAAAUUUUAAAUUUUAUCUUAAAAUUUAAAUUUGAAAUUUAAAAUUAUGAAAUUUAAAAUUUAAAAUUUGAGAUUUGAAAUUUAAAAUUUAAUAUCUAAAUUUUAAAUUUUAAAUUUUAAAUUUUAAAAAUUCAAAAAAAGAUUAAAAAACAAUUUAAAUUAAAUUUGAAUCAAAAUUAAAAUAAAAAUAUAAAUUUGAGUCUAAAUCGAAUCAGAUUCAAGAAGUAAGUUUUAUCUGCUUCUAAUUUUGGGCAUCCAAAAUCAGAAAACUGAUUUUAAAAAUCAUAAUCAGAUUUAAAAAUGAGAUUGUCAACACUCUGUUGGAGUCCCGAAAAUUACUUGAGGAGCCACAAAGUAUUUUAGAAAAGACCUUGAGCCAAAACUCCGCAAACUCAAAGUAAAAAGCAAAAAAAAAAAAAAAAAAAAAGCCUUGAAGUAGAGUUUGUUCAUUCGAACUUAAAAAAAAAGUGGUAAUCGAGCCGAGUCAAAAUCAAAACGAAAAACUGGUUUUCUGCAAAAGUAAAAUUGAAUACUCUGGUUUGAUUUUGGCGUUCGUUUUCCAAAAAAAAUUAAUCCAACCACACCGCUUCAUACAUAUUAUUAUUAUGUUAUUUUAGUUCAGCUUCGUGUAAUGACCCCGGACGAUCCCAACCCGCCGAUGAUGAUAACUUGCUGAGGCGAGGUGGCGGGGAGGAUGAUGGUGGCUUCCUGCCAGAAUUCUGAGGUAAUAGAGGCUCGAAGAGGUAAGAGAGAGAUAAAGAAUUGGGGAUUAGAGAUAGAGAUAGAGAGGGAUAAGAAAUUGGGAUAGAGAUUAGAAGUGAGGGUUAGAGAUAGAGGAGAAUUGGGGGAAGAAAAGUUUAGAGGAGAAGAGAGUUGGGGAAGUAGAUGCUAAUUCCAUUCAUUGAUGUCAUGUUUAUAUUAUACUCUGAUAUUUAUACUAACUUGGUAAAUUGAACUGAAAGGAAAAAACACCUAAUCUACGAGGGGUAAACAACAAAAGUGAUGAAUUAAGAAAUGGGCUGCUAUUCGGCGCUAUUAUGGGCCCCCGCCUGGGCUUCACUUGUCCAUGAACUUCUUGUUACCGUUGAGUGGAUAUCGGGUCGUGUUUCAUGCCCGAUCCGGAAAUCCAAUCGCCCAAUCCAUCAACUAAGUUGUAACCGGGUAAGUGGGUUUCGAUCCUCUCUUCUUCGCACUAUCCUCUGCCUGGCGGAUAUCGGGUCCGCCGUUCUCACCCAAUCCAAGGAUCGGACUGCCCACUCCACCGAUGACCGAAGUAUCACUAGUUCCUCCGCUCUCCAGAUUCUGCAGGAUCCUCCGCCCACCUACCUCGAUCCUCCCUCCUCUCCUUCAGAGCAUCUAGGAUGCCCUAGCUCCGCCGCUCCGUCGGAGUCCCACCCGAGCAUCCUCGCGCCGCCGGAGUUCCACCAAGCUCGCACAUUCCUCAACUUGCUGCGGCCCUUAUUUCUCCUAUUUUGUAAAGUUAUCAUUUUUACUACCAUCCUCUGCUACUACUCUACUCCUUUAUUCUUCAGGUUGUUACACUUCGGUCCACAAGCCAAACGUCUUUUCAAUAUAGGUGCCACCUCUCUUGAUCUCUUUUAUGAGAUCUUUAGGUUGCAUUUAUUACCGAAAAUCUCCCGGAACAAGUCAGGGUAUUCUUUAAUUUAUAACCAAACAACGGAGGAUCUUGAUGUAAUAAGUUGUUCCGGUAAAAACGAAUUGUUCUCGAACAAUCUAUUAGAAUUACUUUUAAGAAAACUGAGAAUAACUUUGUUAUUCGUUUAUUUUAUUAGAUAAAUAAAUAAAUAUAUAUAUAUAAAUAAAUAUAUUAAUAUAAAUAUUAUCUAUGAUAAUAUAUUUAUACUUAAAUCUUAUUAUAUAAUAUAAAUUAAUUAAAUUGAUAUAUUAUUUAUUUUAUUUUGGUUUAUCGAUAUUUAUAUUUUAUUUAUAUAUUGGCCAAUGUUGUAUGAGAAAUUCACAAGUUUGUGCUUUUGCCAAACUGGACCGCCUUUUUUGAUUUUGCAGAUUUCGUACCAGGAUUUUUAAAAAAACGAUCAAAAUACCCUUAUUGUUUCUCUCUUCCUUCUUUUUUUUUUUCUCUCGUUUUUUUUCCCUUCCCGUAAGAGAGAGGAGAAGGCGAGGCGCGCCCGCCUCUCUUCUGCUCCCUGCCUUUGCCAGCGUCCGCGCACCACCCGCCCCCCUCCCCUCCGACCCUACCAAGGCUGUACUCGCCGCCGCCCUUUGGUACGCCUUUCCUCGCCUCCGCCCCAUGUGCCCGUGCUUGCUCAUCUCCUGCCCUCCUCUUCUCCAACCCUUCCAAGACUGCGCCGCGAUCCUCUUUUUUUUUCUCUCCGAACCUUCUCCGCUGACCUUCGCGACACACCUACACCUCCACUACAUCAGAUUUUUUACCCACCAAACCCACUUCUAGACACUCGCCGUCCUCACCACCGCCGCUGAUGACGAAAAGAAAGCGCUUUUUAGUGCCAAAAAGCUCACUAGUUAGGGAGGGGGCACGCGACCUACCAUGCCCACACAAAGUCGGCGAAGAGUGAGGUGGAGAUGGAGGAGAGCGCGACGUACCAGAGUGCAGCGGUGAACGCGGUCUUCGUGGGGUUGGAGGCAAGGAGGGUGGGGGGUGCACGGAAGCAUCUCUGGUCAAGUACUUUUGUUUGCUUAAAACAAAAAAAUAACUUAACAAAAAAUAAAAAAUUAGAAAAUAAGGAAGAAGAACUAGAAAAGAAAGAAGAAAAAAAUUGAAAUUGUUGUCACGCCCCAGAUUCCUCGUUUCCCCGGGCACGCUAACAAACCCGCCGUAUACAUAGAAAUUUUUCUGUAUACGAAACGUAGCUGUACCUGUACCUGUAAUCAUACAACACUACAACCAGUAGUAUAGAGCUGCUAGAAAAAAAUAAAACAUAUAUAACAAUAGUGUUUCAAUACAUACAUAGCAUCUAGGUACAAAAAUACUCGCUCCAGCAAGGUACAAUAUCAGUAUGUAAAGAACCAAAAACUACAACUACCUGUAGCUGGUACUCCUCUAGCUCUGUGACUCGUCAGGAAGGGCUCUAACUCGCAACACCCUUUCCCGAUCAGUAGCAGCAGUAGCAGCAGCUGCAACCGAAGGCUCUGCAAAAGAUUCAAACAACUGGGUGUGAGAACUACUGCAAAAAGAAGUAGUCCUCAGUGGGUACCGCUACCGAUCUCAAUGGCUCACCUACUAAGUCUACAGAUGUAUGCUCAAUGAUAGUAAGAAACUGGAAACAAUCUACAGCUAUAUGCCACUAUACUAUCAUGAUCCAGUACUAACUAUCUGUAAGAAAAAUGCAAUUUCUGACCCAAUCUCAUUAGGGACUGUGAACUCACCCGUCUCGCCUGUCGAAGCUACACUAACUGCCACCAUACUAGGUCGUCAGUGGAGAGCAAGUCCAAUCAGGACAAAACGACACCAACGCAACGCACAAAGCCCGACUCCGGAGUGGCACUCAUGGGCGCUACCCAGCCGAGUAUGCAAGCGUAUCUCUAUCGAGCUCAAUCAGGCUCUUACAGGUUAUGUAGUCAAAGCAAAAUGGUCUAACAAGUCUAACAAACCAAACUUACGUGCCCUCGGUACAAUUUGAUGCAAAAACAACAAUCUGGGUCCACCGUCAACCUCAACGGUACUCGAUAGUCCGGAACAGCCUAAACUCUACUGUAAAAAUAAGCUCGGCAUCCCAGCACGAGUAUAAAUACAUUCAACACUAUCCUGAGUAUCCAUCGCUCCCAAGCUUCAGUGAUACAAAUAAACUACGCCUCCUAGAGCUAAAUAUGGUAGUUUUAACAUAUGAUAGUGUAGAAGCGCUAGUUUUCUCCUAAGUCAAAUGCAAGUCCAACAUGUAUUAUUUAACCAAUAUUCUAGGCUCCAAUUCAGAUUUAGGAAUGCAAUAAAUCAACGAAUCGAGAUACUAAACAUGCUAUUCAAAAUAGAAAAUACAUGUCGACAACAAACUAGACUUAGGAGCAAUUCCGUAAAAUACGGUAAGCAUAACAUUAUCCCACCUCUAGCGCUAAGUCCACGGCAACAAGGAGUUGCCGAAAUCCCUGCCAAGCUCAGCCGUGGUCACCCUGAACCAGCAACAAUACUCCUCUAAAUCUCUAAACACCAAAACACUAAGAAUUCCAUCAAUCUACUUAAAUUCAGCACUUAAGCAUAAAGUAGCUUCAAUCACAAUGUCAACUUCACCUUCCAAUCUUCAUAUCUGGUGAAGUAAGGUUCCACAACCUAUGAACUAUGAUGGAGUAUCACCCUCAGGUCCAAAAUCCAGCUUCCUCCAAAGAUUGCAUCAAGAAAACCCACAAUUUCACAAUUUCAGUUCAAAAACACUAGUAACUCAGAAAAAUACGAAAUUGACCAUACAAAUCUGAAUCAAUUUCUGUCAAAUUUGCUCGACAAAAUCUCCAAGAAGUCUUCUAACCAGCAAACCAAGUUUCGCAGCAAUCCGAUCCUCCUACGUCGCACACGAGCCAAAACGCCGAAGGUCGCUGCUGGAAAUCUGCAGAAUCAGCAAUCCUCAAGCUUGGAAUUGUGGAAUUUGGAGUAAUUUGAGGGGUUGGAAUGCAAUUAUAGGCUUCACUGUGAAUGAGAGAUGAAAAGAGUUCACCAGGAUCGUACUCCAUCUAUUUAUAGUGAGGUAAAAGGAUAAAAUAAGCCCCAAGAACAAAUAUUGCAAACAUGCUGCCCCUGCAGAAACGAAUAGUUUCGGGCGCCCGAAACCAUGUUUUGGGCGUCCAAAACCUCCAGGCUGCACAAAUACACCACUUCAGUUCCUCCACCCGCGAUGUGCUGCGCCCAAAUCUUGCUCCGAUAGACCUCACCUACCACCAGCCAGGUGUCAGCGCAAACGAUACUCCCAAAGUGGACUUUCAGACCCUCUUCUGGGCACCCGAAAUAUAGGAUCCGAAUUGGCUUUCAGUUACUGCUCAAAUCAGCAUUCGAGUUCUGGGCGACCCAAACCCAGUUCUGGGCGCCCGAAACUGGCAAAACUCCAGUUUUGCUCCUUUGAGUGCGCCAAGUCUAUUUCUGCAUACAUUUCGUGCAGAAAUGACUCCAACUCAAGACGACACUUUCAAGAUAUAUCGACCAGUCACUGAUACUGUAGCCAAUCCUAUCCAAACCUCAGGAACACUAUAAUUGCAGUGUUAAAAUAAAAUUACACUAUAGUAGAAAAGCGUUGCACUAUUAUAAACGUAAGUUGCAUUCUUUGAGAUAUAAAUUGUACUUUUCCAAAGAGUACAACUUUUGUUUAAAGAGUGUAACUUUCAUUUUAAAGGGUGCUCUUUGGGAGCAAAAAUAUUACAAUUAUCUUCCAAAUAGUGCAAUUUUUGUUUAAAGAGUAUAACUUUUAUAUUAAAGUAUGCAGUUUAUAUCUCAAAGAGUGCAAUUUACGUUUAUAAUAGUGCAACGUUCUUCUAGAAUAGUGUAACUUUAUCUUAACAGUGCAAUUUUAUCUUUUUCUUCCUUCUUCUCUAGUUCUUCUUUCUUAUUAUCUAUUUUUUAAUUUUUAGUUAAUUGUUCUUGUUUUAAGCAAAUAAAAGCACUUGAUCAGAGAUGCUCCCGUGCACCCCCCGCCCUCCUCGCCUCGGACCCUGCCGAGGCCGCGCUCGCCGCUGCCCUCUGAGACACCUCGCUCGCCUCUGCCCCGCCUUCUUCUCUGGUGUCGUCAUGCUCUCCUUCGUCUUCACCUCGCUCAUCGCCGGUCCCGGAUAGGUGCAGUGGGUCGAGUGCUCCCUUCCUCGCCACCGAGCUUCUUGUCACCGAAAAACACUUCCUUUUCGUCGUCCUCAGCGGCGGUGAGGACGGUGGGUUCCAAGAAGUGGGUUUGAUGGAUGAAAAAUCUGUUGUAUUGGAGGUGGAGAUGGAGGUGGAGAUGGGUCGUGAAGGGCUGCAAAGGUGAUGAAAGAGUUUCAGAGAGAGAAAAAAAAAAGGAUCACAACGCAACCUUGGCGGGGUUAGAGGCGAGGAGAGUGGGGGGUGAGUGGGCGCAGGCGAGAGCGCAUGGGGCGGUGGCGAGAAGGGGCGUCUUAAAAGGCAACGGUGAGCACAACCUUGAUGGGGUCGGAGGUAAGAAGGACGGGUGGUGCGCGGAUGCAGGCAAGAGCGCGGGGUGCAGAGACGAGGCGAGUCAUCUCCGCCACCGGCCCUCUCUUUAGAAAGGAAAAAAAAAAAAAGAACGAGAGAAAAAGAAAAAUGAGAGAGAGAAAAGAAUAAAAAUGUUUUGGUCAGUUUUCUGAAAAUCUGACCUGAAUCUACAAAAUCGACAAUGACGGCCCAGUUUUGCAAAAGUUCAAAACUUGUGAAUUUUUUAUACAAAUUGACCAUUAAUAUUUAAUAUUUUAUUUUUUAUUAAGUAUUAUAUAUAUUAAAUUAUUUUUUCAUAUAUUAUAUAUUUCUUUUAAAUUUGUAUUGAAAUUUAUUGUAUUAUUAGUUAAAAUUAUAAGAAUAUUGCUAGUAUUAUAUUUUAUUUAUUACAUAUAUUAUAGAUAAAUUAUAUAAUAAAUUAUUACAUAAAAUUUAUUAUGUAAAAUAAAAUAAAUAUACUGAUAUAAAUUAAAUUAUUAUAUACAAUAUUAUAUUAUAAAUUAUCAUAUAAAAUAAUUUUAUAUAAAAUAUACUGAUGUAAUAAAUUAUUUUAUUUUUUAAAAACAUAUUUAGAUAUUGUUUUAACUUUUUACUCAAAUCCUACUAAGCAUAUCCUCCCGAAUAUAUUCCUAAAUGCAAAAAAAACAUAAAUUUAUAAUUAUUCUAACUUAUACCGAAAUAUUUCUAAAUUUUAAGAAUAAUAAAAAAUUAAUUUUAAAAUUUAGUUCUCGAACCAAAUGCAACAUUAGCGUUGCCCGCUCUUUAUUAGCGGUUCAUGAUACGGGUUAGAAAUUGGAACCAGAAAAUUGGGAUCCAGUGAAACCGUUCAGAGUUUACCUGACCCGUUCAAAAAAAAAAAAAUGUGUAACUGGUCCGAAAAACUGGACCGGCGUCACUUCUAGGCUCGAAGUUGAGGGGCUGCUGGGCCGCUAUUCAGGUCAUAGUUAGUUAAUUCAUGAAUUAUUCACGAAUUUUUGAAAAGUUGAAUAAAAUAGCCAUUUUUAUAUUUUUCUUAAAAAUUUAAAAAAAAUUGUGUUUUUUUUUGGGUAAAAGUAAUUAUUCGCGAAUUAAACAUGGCUCGCGAAUAAUUCGGAAGAUCGGCGCGGUUGCUGGCUUGCUGCGACGCGGACUCGUGGGCCUCGCGGUCGCGGGUGGCCUAAAUUAAAAUAAAAAAAAACCUUUCAGAGAGAACCUUUCGCAGUUCGCCUCAAAAAAAAAAAAGAAAAAAAAAGAAAAAAAAAAAGCCUUUUUCAUUCGCCCCCCUCCCACCCCGACCCCUCCCAAAAAAAAGGGUUUGCCCUAACUUCUGACCCCUGCGGCGGUGCGGCCCUGCCACCGACCCCCUGCGGCGGUCGCGGGCCCUUCCCCUCCCCCUCUUCCCUUCCGGCCGCUCGCCGAACGCAAUCGGAAGCCCUCCUCUUCAGAAAUCGAAGAUCGAAGAUCGGGUUCUUCACUCUUCAGAAAUCGAAACCCUCCUCGUCGCCUCUUCCGCUUCCUCUUCCGCUUCCGCUUCCGCUAUCCAACGAUAGAUCAGUAAUCGAUCGGGUGGUUCUUUACAAACCAGGUACGAUUUGAGUUUUCAUUUUUCAACGCAAAAGUUGGAAGCUUUUAGUCCAUCUGAUGGAUACUUUUUUAUACGCAAAUGGCUCGAGUGCUUAAAUUGAAUGUGUCCAUUCUCUGUUAUGCACAAAGAAGACCCAAACAUAGAGCUAAAUAAUCUUAAUUAACUUAGGGACCAGGAACUCUUGUAUUAUACCUAAUCAAUUUCAUGAUCUUGUCUUGUCGACACUUGCAAAAGGAAAAUUUUGUUGUGGUCUUUCAUGGACCAUUGACUCAGUGGGCUUGUAUGUGAACCUUUUAUAUUUUACAUUUAAAUAUGGACUAUCUUGAUCUCUUAUUUGCUUAAUUAUUUAUUUAUUUUGAGGCAUAAUAUAGUUUACUAUUUUUUUUUACUUAAUUAGUUUAAUUUUGUAGCUCUUUAUUCUUAUAGUCUUAAAAAAUAUAAGUAUUUAUGCUAAUAGCGUAAAUCUUGAGAGAAAAAAAACUUAAUUUAAUAGCCGAAUUUUUGAUCCCGAAUUUUUAAUUGGUGAACGUAUAAUAUCCGUAUAAAUCACGUAUCCGAAUAAUUGGCGAAUCCCUUUUUUAGCCCUUUUUUUCAACAAAUUUAAAAAUUAGAAGGCGAAUUUUAUCCGAAUUAUACCCGUACCGAAAUUUUGCCGAAUCCGAAUUAACUAACUAUGAUCCAGGUCCGGAUGACAACCCGACACGUGAUCCUCGCAGUCUUCCCUUAAACCCACCCUCCCACAUUCCUUCCCCUCUGCCAACCGCCGCCCCUCGCAUCCCCGAAUCCCUCUGCCUGCUGCCCCUUCCCCACAAAUCUCGAACUCGAUCUGUUUUAUUUAUUUAUUUAUUUCACCUCAUUUUCCCAUGCAGUUCUUUAGAGAAACUAAAAGAUAGGGAAAAGAGAAAACAAAUGGCUGCUGCAGCUCAGCCCUUCACUGGGAAUCUGAAGGUAAACAACACUCGCUUCCAUUUCUUUCCCCCCCUCCUUAAUUGAUACGAUCUCUUAUUUUAAUACACUAUUUUGUUAAUCUUCUUGGUUUCUUUUUUUAUAUAAAGUUUUAAGUAUUUUUCCACAAAUUAAAUUCUAAUUUGAAAUUAAAAUUUAUAUGGUGCAUUGCUUAAACCUGAAGCUUUAAAUUGUCGUCAGCACUUCAAACUUGGCGUAAUUUGUGUAACAUCUUUCAGUUCUCUGAUCAAAAUGUAGCCUUCUAAUUCAUUAAGGAGUGGGAUAGUGUGAUCUGAGAACUUUCUUGGUGUUCCGAAAUUAUAGGUUUAGAUCUUUUAGUUCAAAAACCUCGAAGGGAAGUAAGUGAAUAACUGCAGUAGAGACAAGAUCAAACUUUUAAAAUCGAAUCAUUUUUGUUUCUAAUUUGAUUGGAGACAAAUUUUUAUUUCUUCAUCUGAAGUGUAGAUAUAGGAGUUAACUUUCUACUUUAAGGAGGUAUUUGGUUGGAGGGAAGUAGCAGCUCGAAAGUGGACUACAAAUUGAAACGAAACUGGAAGCGUUGCAGUGAUUCUCCGGAAACCGUAGAAAAUAACUCACAUUUAAGAACUCGACUUCGCCAUGUGGGGGUUUGCAUUUUGUACUUCUUACAUAUACUUGUAACUUACUUUCAUAUAUUUUAGCUCCCAACAACCACAGCUUAAUCAAUUUAUGUUCAAAUAAACCCAAAAUAUGACGGCUAGGGGUCUGAUGAGUCGAAGCCUUUUCGACCGUUGGAAAUGGAGGCAAAAUGAGUUUAGUAUCAGAGCGACCUGAAUGUUUGUGCUUCUGCUGAUUUUGUCUUGUUAGACGAUGGUGAAGAUGAUGAAGCACGAUAUAUGAUUCAAACAGAAGUAGGAAAGGUUGAAAUUCUAGUAAGCAAUAAAAAUUUUCAUAAUUUGAGGAAUAAUCUUUUGACUUGGAGCGAGUGGAUUAGUAAUGCAAAUGGCAUUUAUAUCAGAAAUUCUAUCCGAUUUAGAUUACAAAGUUGGCGAUUACCAUUGUUUCUUUAUCACAGUGUAUUGGUAAUGCUUUGAUUCUUAGACUUAUUGGAAAGUAAUGGCGAUAUUUGACAUCAAAUUGAUGAAUUUUCUUUUGGCUUUCCAAAUGCAGGCAAUUAAUGUCUGAUACGUCAUAAAUCUAGACCAUGGUUUAAUUUGUAUGAUCUUCUUGAUAGAAAAGUAGAAGAAAAAAAAUUUCUUUCAGGAUCAAUUUAUUUAGAAACAACGAUGUCCACUGAAUCCUCAACUUCCACAUGCUCCCCGACAAUUAUAGUAGGAAAGACAUGAAUCGUUGCUAGCUUAGGAAAUUGAGAGUGUAUAGAAAGAACAAAAGUGGUUUGGAAAUGGAAUAAUUUUUUUUAAAACCUUGUGUUGAUGUUAAUGUAAAUUUUAUAAGGCCAUCAGUGAAUAUCUGAAAAAAGUUACACCCGUGAGAUAGUCAGGAAACUAACUUAACAGUGGAAUUAUAAAAUCGAUUUGUCAUUCAUGCGAAUAUAUGAAAAAUUGGAUAUUAUCGAGAUAGUUGGGAAUUGAAAUUAAUAGUUUAAACAACAGUCCCGAUUUACGCAGCCAAAGGACUAUCGAAUGUGUUGUCAGUAGCCUGCGAUAAUGUUAUAACAUCGUUUUGCUUUGUGUCAUCAAAUCAUGCAGAAAGCACUUGCUGGCUUGAGAAGAAUCAAUUUAGAGGGUCUGCGGUGGCGAGUAUUUGAUGCGAAGGGCCAGGUUGAUAUCUUUUAUUGCGCCAAAUACAGCUGUUCACAUAAGCUCUAGAAAUGUGCUCCGCUAAUUUUUCCACUUCUAGGUGCUUGGAAGAUUGGCGUCACAAAUUGCAACUGUUGUCCAAGGCAAAGACAAACCAACAUACACGCCGAACAAGGAAGAAGGCGAUAUGUGUGUUGUGGUCAACGCCAAAGACGUUUGUGUCACUGGUAGAAAAAUGACAGACAAGUUUUAUCGUUGGCACACAGGGCAAGUCUCCAAAAUUCUUUGUCAGCUACCUUUUGUGGACUAAUUUUAUUAAAAAUUAUUUUGAUUAAUAAUCAUUCCUCAGGUAUGUUGGCCACCUCAAGGAAAGAAGCCUCAAAGACCAGCUUGCGAAGGACCCAACUGAAGUAAUUCGCAAAGCUGUCCUGCGCAUGCUUCCCCGCAACAAAUUGCGUGAUGUAAGUGAAACAUCAUGUUUAUGUUAUAUAUUUUGAACCAUAAAGAUGGCUUGGCAUUCUAAGACCUUUGCAUCCAUUGGUUCUUUAGUAUACAAUAAUCUGCAGAUUCUAGUACCUGUAAACCUAGAAUCCAGUUCAUUUGAUAUUAGCGAAACAUGUGUGAGAUUCUCCUCCCAGUAGUGUUAUGAAUAUGUUUGAGUAAACCCAUUAGCUAGCAUAAUUUAUUUGAAAAUUUUAGUUCUUUGUGGAUAACUGUUGUGCAGUGUAUUUCCUUGUUCCAAGAAGUGCCUAUUAAUCUAAAAUUUCCAUAAUGAAUAUACAGUUUAUCAACAAACAUGUAUGGAAGCAGCUUUGAAAAUUGCUUCCAAGUUCAUAGAGUAUAACCGUCGUCUUCAUCUUUGUUCCUGCUGAAACUCAAUAGUGCAGGAUAUUUCUGUUAUCGAUUGUAGAAAUAUUGGCUGUAAAGUCUGUGCAUCAUUCAUUUCAUGUGAAAAGAUUGAAGAGUUGAUAAAUGCCUCUUAACUUGGUUCCUCUACUUGUUCUAUUUUUCAGUCAUAUAAUGCUUUUGCUUACUGAAGCGACAUAUUUUAGGCAGUUCUUAUUAUAGUUCACAGCCUUAGAAAACUUCAUUUUAUCUUUCUGUAAUGUUGCUAGUUUCAUAUUCGUAUGCUAAACUAGGAUUUUCACAGUUGUGGAGUAGGGGGAAUAUAACUUAAAUCAAGUAAUUGUUUAAAAUUGGUCAUAGGGAUGUGUUAAUAUUUGUUCAUGCUAAUCUUAAUCACGUCAAAUUAUCAUGGUAACAAGAGUGUUUGUAAGGCAACUAACAGCAACUAAGAGCCAUCUAUGACAACUGUAACGAUCCGACACACUAACACUAAUAACUCAUUAGGCCAAAACUAUCUGCCCAAAAUGCUUAAACCCUGUUAUUAUUGCUAUUGUUCCUGGUUCUUUAUAUUCCCAAUCAUAUUUUCAUAUCCAUCUGAUGUGGGGGUUGUUGGUGUGUUUGGUAGUCAAAAUAUCGAGUGGUACUAUAAAAAUGGAGGUAUAACCAACCUGCAGCUGAAGACCAAUCACACAAGGAUUUAAGUGCCGUGGCACGGGGUCGUACUGAAAACUUGCUAGCACGGUAAGACACGAUGUGUGUCGAGCCGUGCCGAUGUGUGUCAGUCACAAAAAUUUCAUGUGUGCCGACACAUAAUAGCAUGAAAUAUUUAUUUUUUUACCAACAAAAUAGUCUAACUGUUUAUUAUGUAUUUUUAUUAAAUCUUUUGAACUUUAUUGAAAAAAUUACUUACUAAUUUAAAGAAUUUAGGGUUUUGAGCUGUGCCAUCGGUACGGAGGCUAUAUCGUGUAGAUAUUUUGUUAACAUGAUACGGCACAGUAGAUACGGCCCGUGCCGAUGGGCACUUAAAUCCUUGAUGUCACAAAUGCCAUAUGCAUAGAAAUCUAGUUGCAGCUAUGUGAACAAAUCCAUUACAUUUCCAUUAGUAAGGAAUGAAGGAUACGCCAGUUAUCUUAAGGUUAUACUUAUACCUCAUCUGUACCAGAUGAGCAAGACAACAACAAUGUGUACCUGCUGUAGGAUUUGUAUCACUAGCCCAAGAUUUCAUCAUAGAAUUUCGUUUUCUUAGAUCUUUAUUAUAUCAUUAAAUUAUCGUGAAAAAUUUAGCCCCUGCAAUUCUCACCAUUGUCUUGUGUACAGGAUAGGGACCGCAAGCUGAGGAUAUUCGCGGGAAGCGAGCAUCCCUUUGGGGAUCGUCCGCUCGAGCCGUAUGUGAUGCCUCCGCGGAACGUGAGGGAGUUGCGUCCGCGUGCACGGCGUGCGCUCAUCCGCGCCCAGAAGAAAGCGGAGCUGGGAAGCACCACCCCGCCGGGAAAGAAGAAAGAUAAAGCAGUUGAUGUUAGUGCUUGAAUAUCUACCCUCUUGUUUUGUGCUCAGAUGGCAUUUUCUUGUGAUGCAAAUCUGGUUCUUUUGGGCUUUAUGUGCUCAGUUAGCUAGGUAAGGUAAAAAUGUAUGGAGAGCCCCUCAACUAAGGACCAUUUAGAAAUGGCCCCUCCAACAUUAAUUUGGAGAUUUCGUUGAGCUGAUUUCGUUAAAUUUAACAGCUCUAGCCGCUUCUUCAGCAAAUGAAACUGUUGCUGAAAUUGUAUGUUUUCGUAAUCAUUACGACCAACUGGUAGCAAAGGCACAGCAAGAUCUCCAAUUUAAUUGGUUGAAAAGUUUGAUUCAAAAUAAUCAGAAGUUGAGGGGCGUCAAUGAAAAAAAUUAAAAAGUUGGAAGGUCUAUUUCAUUAAGCGCUGUAGUUGAGGGGUUACUAGUACAAUUUCGCUAUUUUGUAGCUCUUAUUUAUUACUUAACGCUGCUGGAGCUUGUUACAUUUUUUAAUUUUUGUAGUGAUGCUGAAAUUUACAUAUACAACUAUUGUUGGAUGAAAUUACAAGCACUUCUUGGUAAAAGCAAAGUUACAAAAUUCUCCAGUUUAUUGAAAAAUUUACUGAUUCCUCACGACUUUUUGGUUUCACGAAUAUCUUGUUGAAUUAUUUGCUAGCAUAGAGAUAACAAUAAAAUAUUAGCAGAAUAUAUGAAAAAAAUUACAGAUCAAUCAACAAAUUUUAAAUUUUUUAUGCACUAUUUAUUAUAUAUUUCUUUUACUUUAUUAAAUUAAAAAGUGAUGAAAAAAAAUUAUUGCAUACAAAUUUUAAGGAUAUUUAUUUUUAGUGUGAUAUGUUUAUAAUUUACCAAACAAUGAAUUUAUCAAUCAAACUAUUGUCGAAUAUUCUUUUGGUUUCACGAAUAUUUCGUCGAAUGUUACUUAAAGAAAAAAAAAACUAUUUUAUAUACUCCAAUUUGAAUGUAAAUGCUUACUCACUACUUAUAAGAUCCAUAAUUUUUUUUUUGGAUGUACAAAAUGUCUUGUUCUAUUAAAUUAGUUAAAAUAUCAAUGUCGCGUUCGGGGGAAACGUAAUUAACGCUGCAUCAACGCAUCAACAAUAAGCAGAUGCGGUUAUUCCGGUUGCUUGCAACGGCCGCAACCACCUCUCGAGUUACUCCACGCGUCCACAUCGAGAUGUCGGCAACCGAUCCUCUACAACUUGGAUGUACCACAAAAUUACACGCCCACCAAUAAAAUGCUCAGAAUGUCUAACCAAAUUCAAUUUUCUGCUACAGUAAAGACUUAUUUUUUGAUCGUUGGAUGAAGUGAUGUACGGUUAGAAUGAUAGUGGUCCACUAGAAUUGAGUCGGCGGUUGGUUGAAUAAUAUGAUCUAAUGAAUGAAAAUAAUCAAAAGGAUAAAUUUAACUGCCAAAAACUUAUAAGUACAAAGAAAGCUAUAUUUAUAAAAGUAUAUUAAUCGGACUCGUAUAUUUAAUAUUAUUAAAAUUUUAUAAUAGUGCAACCCAUAUGUGCCCCUUGAGUUGGGCAACUCAUGUGGUUCACAAGGUUGGAUACUUUCUCAUAGUCCAUGUGAAGGUUUUAUAUAUAGAUUUUAUAUGCUGCGUGUUUUGGAAGCAAAAGUUGUUGUUUUUCGUUUGAUUUGAGCGAGCGACAAAUGAAAAAACCAAUUUUUUCAAAAAUUUGUAAAAAUAUUUUACAAAAAAAAGCUCUUUUACAGUUGGAAAAAAGAAUUUCAAAUUGAAAAUAGUUUUCAGGCCGACCAAACACCCCUAAACUAAUAACUUUACGCCGUAUGUGCGGCGGACGAAUUUGUUACAAAAUAAGUUGUAGAGAAUCGACACCCACGCGCCGCCAAAAACAGCCAAAAACACGUCGACAGAUGUGCGCUUAGUGAUGUGUUGUUCUGGAAUUGGUUCACCACGUCACUUGGUGAACCCUCUACUUUUACGGUGGAGAUGCAUAUGAACGUUAGAUGCUAUGUAGGU
rnacentral:lncRNA from 1 species